AUGAAUUGAAGUUGGAGAGGCAACGGAAGAAGCAACAGAUAGAUGAGUUGGAGAGCAUUGUGAGACUCAAGCAGGCUGAGGCUGAUAUGUUUCAGCUUAAGGCUAAUGAGGCAAGGCGAGAGGCUGAGCGGCUGCAGAGGAUUGCUCUUGCCAAGUCAGAGAAAUCAGAGGAGGAGUAUGCUAGCAGAUACCUGAAACUCCGGUUGAGCGAGGCUGAAGCCGAGAAGCAGUAUCUGUUUGAGAAGAUCAAGCUUCAGGAGAGUUCGCGUUCAUCACAGAGUAAUGGUGCAGGUGACUCUUCACAAAUGCUGAUGCUCUCAAAAAUCCAGGACCUGCUGAAAAAUGUUUAUCAUGUCCCUCCGAAGUCAGAAUGCCAGCCAAGUGAACACCACCCUAUCAGGUCAAAUCCCUGAUGGAAUCCUAUUGGGUCAAUCCCUGAUGGAAUGCUUCCUGGUAUGCUAUGUGUUAAUUCAACUUGAUAAUAAGAAAUGCAGACUUUGUGGUUUGGAUAGAUUGACUAUGUUAUUGGAAAUUGUGAACUUAAAAGCUAUGUUCUAAUUUCAAAAUUAUAUUUGAUUUGACAUUUUCACCUGGCAUCCAUACUGGUCAAAAAGGAAAUAGCUGGAUACCAUUAGGAGUAUUAUAAACUGAUGUUUGUUCGUUGCAUAUGCGUUAAUGUGUUAUCCAUUUGUUCCCAUGCAUCUGUAGACAUGAAUCUCUUUUCUUGUCUGGCUGUGUUUGCUACUAGAAACAUGGAUAACCCUUUAUGCGUAUACAUUCUUAUUGCAUGCCCAUUAUGUUAUGCCCAGUAGUCAUGGUGUCAAACUGGGCCAACAUAUUUGCCCUGAAUUCUCUGAAUGACAGCAGAGAAAUUAUUUGCUGUUGACGGGGAAGCUUCUUUCCCUAUGUUUUCAGGCAUAUGCAGUGGUCAUGGUAGUGAUUUUAUACAUAUUUCUUAUGCAUUUGUUGUGCCUUCCCUCAUUCUUGUCUAAUUGAGGGUUUUUUUGGAGGCGACAUAACUAUCACUUUCUUAAUCAAUUCAUUUUCGGCUGAAGCUAAGACCGCGCCUAGCUUGCUACAGAGCAUGGAAAUUACUUUGUUGAUGCCAAAUGAUGAAAAACUAUAAGAAAAUUGCACUUGCUGUUGAGCAUUUGCAUUCUCAGCCAUUCAAUCCCAAUCUGAUGCAAUGUCCCUCCAAAUUUCUAAAUUUUUUUAGCCUCUGAAACAGGAUAUUAAUGUUUUUGAAUACUGCAAUAAUUGUAAUUCAAAGUGUUGGCUUAAGCUCCUUUUUAAGUAUGCAUGAUGCCAUGUUGAUGGAUGAAGACGGUUUUGCUUGGCUAUUGACAACUUUCCUCUCUGCGUUAUGUCCAGCAAUCUUUACUUUUAGAUGGCAUAUUCUCUAACGAAUAUAACCAAGCAAAUCCUCUUCGUCUUCAUCCAUCAACCGGAUUCCACUUGCACCUUUUUAGGAGCUCAUGCAAACAUUUGGAGCGACAACUCUUGAACAUCUCCCUUGCCAGUUGCAAUCCUAUUUAGGAGGCUAAAUGAAAUUGGAGAUGAAGUGGGAAUUGUAACACAUUGUUGAGAAUCCUGAAUGUGGUAUGAAGUGAGUGCAGUUUCUUAUAAUUCCUUGUAUCAACAAGAUCAUUUGUCUGCUUCAUGGCAAACAAGUUGGCCGCGGUGUCUACAAAUCACAAACCCAUUUGGAAGUAGUUGAGUUUUUUCCUUAACUGCAUGCUGAUGCUCUGUAUAUGGAAAUAUUUUCGGAAUUAAAAGCAUGUUCUUUCUGUUCUUCUGCAAUCAGAGGCAAAUAUAGAAUGUUUGGAUGGAGAAGUUUGUGCAUUAGGAAAUGGAGCAUUUCUGGAAAUAUGUCAUCAGAUAUGAUUAGAAUUGUUUGAUCACAUUCUUCUUUGAUGUAUUCCUAAAAGGAUGGGAUUGAAGAUGCUGGGAAACUGAUUCUUUUGUCGAAACAUUUUGGAUUCAAGUGCAUGAAUGGUCACAUUAUUGUUAAAAUUUCGUCGGUUAGUCCAUGGACUUGGUCUAACAUGAUCGAUCAUGUAUAUAUCUUGAUUACCCCAUUAGACAAUCCUUCUGUGAUUUUUUUUUCUAGAUAAUCCAGUAGUGAGUGAGCAUUAGAAUUCAAAUUGGCCAUUGUCUUUGCCCUUUAUUUUAUUCACAUUUGACUGCAAUCUUAGCAUAUUGCCAUAGCCUAGAUGUUUUUUAGGGUUCAUAAUCUCCAGUCGGCACUUCACUGUCACCACCAUGACCACCAGCACCACCCCAGAAUCCGGACAUCAGCUGGGAGUUCUUACCCUUUCCCUCUGAGCCCAUGGCUUUGAACAACUGGGCAGUGCCCAUAUGUUUAGGACAAAAGGCAAGCAUGCCCUUGAGACUAGGGCUGAGUGUUUAGAUGGUGGUACCCUAAAUGAAAUGGUCUUUGCAUGUGGGCACAGGGUGACAUGCAUAUGUAUAUAUAUAUAUAUAUAUAUAAUGAAUGAUAGGGACAAGACCCACCAUCUACAUAACACAGACCUCUCAUCUGCAUCACAUCAUGUGCCCUAACUACUUGUUCCAAGGGUCUUGUCACCAUCCCAAGAAGGCAAUCAAAGAUGGUGUUGGAAGAGGGAUGUUAGGUGAGGCUACUACUUGUAGGGUGUAACCCCAUCUCUGCAUUUGUGAUCAUCUUUAAUUGUAGUCAAAACCAAACACCAGAACAAGUAAUAAUAUCGGCAUUUGGCAUAGCGAUUGAGCAAGAAAGACUAAAGACUCUCUUUACAUUCUCCCCAACCAUUCACAAAUUUUCGAUUUUAGUAAUAUAAAUAAAUAAGAUUAAAUAGUUACCAAAGAAAUCAGACUAAAUAUAAAGUAAUGAUUAAGAGACUUUUUUUGACGACACUGUGACUUUCGGAUAAGCUCUUCCUCUCAAUUCAUAUCCAUACCCUAGAAAUGAUUAAGACAUUGGGCUCUUGCAAGUUUGUAAAUAAAGGUCUGAAUGCCGAGGUCUAAUCCAACCGGCCAAACGUGAACAAUGUUUGGAUUUGAUUAGUUCAACAUAAUACAAGUCAUUAUCGACCCAUAAUCAGUCGACAAAAAUCACAUCACUAAACGUACAAGCACAAAAUACAAAGAUGGAUUAAGCCCAAUAGGUUCUCCUACAAAUUAUAAGCUUAAGAAAAUGGAUUAGGAAUGUGAGAGGUACAUGGGCCCUACUCAUAGUCAUAAUUGAUUUAGAAAAUUCUAAGUGGGCUGAUUCACAUGUGAUAACCAUCUUCUAAAAAAUAAUUAAAAUAAUAAUAAUAAUAAUUGAAGAUGGAAUAAAAGCCUAGAUAUGGCCUUGGGAGAACUCUCCAAAGUGGUGGCUAUUACAUUCUAUUAUUACUUUGAUGUAAAAGUGGAUGCUGUGGGUAGGGUUUUUAAUUACAUCUUUCCUAUUAAAGCUUUACAAAAUUUUCAAAAUAUGUAUAAAUUAAUUAUGGAGGAAUAUAAAUUAUUAAUCAAUAUAUUAUCUGCAACACCCCCAAGAAUCUUUCUCUCCUUCUCACCCUCUUUUCUUUUGAGUCACGUGGAUGCUUCUAUUCUAAAAAUUUAAAAAUUAAAUUGAAUUAAAAAUUUUGGAUGUGCUUUGAAAGGAUUAUGUUUUUUUAAUCUCACAAGAUAUUAUAAAGCAGAAUAGUACAAAUUCUGUUGAAAGGUGAGUCAUAACAGUUUUCGAAAUCAAGUUUAUAACAUUUUAAAAAAAAAAUUAACUAUCAAAUAAACGAUUUUAUAUUACAAAUACGAAAAAAGAUAAAUUUAAUUGUGAAGAAUAAACAAAAAAAAAUUAUUUUUUAUAUUUAAGUUGUCAAAUAAAAUUUUAUUUUAAUAAUUAUUUUUAAAAAUAUUAUAUAUAGAAUUAGUGAUUUUCUAAUUCUCACAUGUUUUAAAUGUGUUAAUUGUCAGAAUGAAAUUACUCGCCCAAGUCUGUUUUGGGUUGGAAUAUUUAUUUCAUGAUGUGAAGUGUGAACAAUUCACUGAAUAUGGUUUGAAAUGGACAAAUUUUAAAAUAAAAAAAUAUUAACUAUGAUUUUAAAGUACAAUUAUUUAUAAAUUAAAAAAGGAAAUAGUUAAUUGAAUGAUAGAUAUGACUUUAAAUUCUAUUAAAUCUAUAAUAAAAAAUUUUAAAAUUUAUGCCCAUUUGAAAAUUGAAAAUCAUAAAUAAAAAUUGCAAAUAUUAUUAAAAAAAAUAAAAAUAAUAAUAAUACUUGUGGUGGGACCAAAUCAAAAUCAAUCACAAAGUCCUCUCCUCUGAGCUGUUCCAUAAAAAUUUAAUACAUCUGUCCAUUUCAGUAAUUUCAUCAUUCCACAAAGGGUACCGAACAUUUUCACUCUCUCGCGUACAAAAUCAACCGCCUUUUGUUGAGUCCGAAGGGCAUUUAGGUAAUCUGACAUAAAAAAAAUACUGAUGUUCAAAAAACUUUGUCGCAGAGUGGAAGGAGAAGGGUCCCACAUCGAUUCCGUAAGGGGUUGUAACCGAACCGAAGGUUGGCCAGUGGGACCCACGUGACGAUGACGACGUGUCGUCACCUGGUGGUUUCGCGGUUUUUAUAAUCGCGGCAAAGUAAGAAAAGAUAGGAAACGUGAUUUGUCAGAGCGAGCUGUCAUGGGCCCCACACUCACCACUCCCGAUGUUUUCACAUGGUAAAAAUCGGAGUGCCGAUUUUGGACUUUUCUUUUCUUCUCUGGGGUUUGUUUGUUUGGUUCUGGAGAAAAUGGGAGGAAACAGUGGGAAAAUCGGAUAGCACAAAGUUACCUAAAAGAUUUUUCCCUUUUGUCGUGUUGUAUUAUAAAAAAUAUAUAUAUCUCUAUUGUUUGAUGAAAUAGGGCAUGUUUGGUAAUCAUUAUUGAAUCUUAAUAAAAAUGAAUUUUGAUUAGGAAUAAAACUUGGAUAUAUUAACCACACAACCCAAUUCUCAAAAGAAUUUAAAUAAUAAUUUUUAUUAUUCACUCUUACCUGGCUAACAUUUUUCGACUUAAAUUCAAUUUAGAUUCAACAUUUCAAAUAUAACCCAAAUCCUUUAAUAUUUUUAUUAUUCUAUAUAAUAAUUUUUAUUUUAUUUAUUUUCUUUUUAAAUUUUGAUGAAAAAUAUUAAAUUAUAAUUAUAUCAUUUUUUAUAAAUUUUAUAAAUUAUUUAUAUUUUUUAUUAUUAUUUUGAAAUUUUGUUUAUGAUUAACUCAAACUUAGAAAAAUAAAGUUUGAUUAGAUUUGACUUAAAUAUUCUGAUCUAAAGUCAAAUUAAAUUAAAUUUGAUUUUUUUUAAUUUGAGUUGAGUUCGAUUAACUUUCGAUCCAAUGAACCUAUCCAAGUUAUAUCCUUAACUCUAAUAUUUAUAUAUUUAUGUCCGAUAACCAAGAUUUCAUUAUACACUCAAACUAUAAAGAUCAAAAGUUUAGUAUGAUAAACAAUUGGUAUCGUAGAUUUUUCCUUUCCUUUUUAUCGUUUUGUUUUGUUUUCUCAGCAGCCAAACAAACCCAAAUACGACAUGGAAUAAAAUAUAAAAGAACGUCCAAGGGAUUAAAGAUGAGGAGAAUGUGGGGUUGGAAGCAUCACCAUAGCUAUGAGUGAAGCUGAGGAUAUCAAUGUCAAUAUCGGAUUCCAAAGUCUUUUUGUACUCACUUUGAAAUUUGGAUCCACCCAUUUCUUUUGGACUGCCCCAAACUUUAUUUUAUCUAUGACCUUAACAUUCUACCCCCAAGGUCAUUUUUUUUUAAUAUUAUAUGGUAUAAAUUUCAAGCACUUUUUGCAUGUGGACUGUUCCCACAAAUUUCAUUUUUAUACACGCCCAUUUUAGCCUUUAGGGCACAUUCCCAAUUGGAAAAUACUUCUCCCCAUUUCUUGCUUUUCUUUCCUUUUCACAUUGCCAAUUAUAAUAUUACAUGAUGUUUGAGGAUGGUGUGUAGGGUUUAGGGUUUAUCGUAAAUUUUGGUUAAAGGGGUUUCAUGAAUUUGAUUGAGUUAUGAGGGAUUUAAAUAUUACGAUUUUUUAUUAAAAUAAUUUAGAGGGUUGGAUGAACAAAUCAGGUAGAUAUCUUUGUAAUGUAAACUUGAAUUCCAAGUUAGAUUGAAGUACAUUACUUAAAAUAAUUCAAACAUCGAUAAUGUUUUAUAUUCCUCGUAAAAGUUUGCAUUACUUAUAAUGUUCUUUAAUUAUGUACACGCUACGUAACUAUUUAAUAAAAUUUUUUGUAUUAAAUUAUUGUUGGGACAUAAUGGAUGUCAAUUUUUAUCGAAGGUAGAUUAGAUUCUUAUUUGUUGUACUUUCGCUUUAAAAACAUUUAAAUAAUUAAUAUAAAAAAAACUCGAAGAUAACAUUGUUAUUUCUAGAAAAUUCAUGUUAAAAAGAAAAUACUUAUUUUAAAUAUUAGUGUUUUACCUACUCUUUUUAACUCAUGAUAUCUGGUUGGUUAUUAAAGUCAUCGAUGUUGACUCACAAAUAAGAACCAUUUCUAACCCUAAUUUCAUCAUGUCUUAAUUAUGAAUUUUCCUUUAUUUUUUCCAUAUGGUGCAAAAUGAAUGAAUUAGAAGGGGUAAUACUAUGAUGUGUACAUAUUGAUUACAACAAAUCUUCCUUGGGGGAAAGAAUUAAGAAUACAGAUGGUGGUGGGUCUAAAGGCCACCUUGAUCUAGUAAUAAUUGAACCUAAAUGUUUGUUGCCCAAUAUGGCCCAUACAAUGAGGCACUUGUUACAUGUACUUGGUAGUUCUUCCUAUUGCUAGAAACGAAAAGAGAAGAUGACACAAGAAAGAAAGGAUAAAGCUUCCAAUGGCCAUGAUAUUAAAGUGACUUACAAAGAGGUAUGGGACCCCAAAGGCCCAUCAAAUGAAUGGAGAGGAUUAGGGUUCUCUUUUUCUUUGUUUUAUUUUUUUGGGUUUGUGGGUAAAAACCCUUUGGUGAUCAAACACCAACCAUUAUGGUCUUUGUGUUAGAAGUCUUUAGUGGUUGAUAGAAGUUGGGCAUGUGUGAUGGAACCCACAAUUUUUUUUUCUCAAUGUUUUGACAUAAAUGGCACAUCAAAAUGAACCCCUUUUUGUUUGGCUUCUCUAACUUUUAGUUUCAUCAUGCAAACCCAACCCAUAGCUUUAGCCCUCAUUUACAAAUCAAAAAAUUAUUUCAUGUGGGUCCACCAUUGUAGGGUUGGAUUAACCAAUCUUGUUGGCUUCUGAGUUCAAUCAAGCUUCCAUCUCCACCAUUCAUUUAGAAGCUUUUAUACAAUUUUAUGGAUAUUUAAUUUAAUUUAAUUUAAUUCAAAAUUUCUUAAUAAUCAUUGGAUUACAGUUAAGGACUUGUACAAUGUUUUACAACAUGGGUUGAACCAAAAUUUUACAGCAUUCAACAUUAGGGGGAUGCCCUAAGAAAUAUAAUAUUUUCCAAAGUGAUGGUCAAACUAAUCAUGGUUUUGGAUUUAAUUGAGAUUAAUUUAAUGGUGGCUUUACUGAGUCACAUUGUCCCUGUGCCCUUGUCAUAUAUAUUCUCCAAUAUUAUAUAGUGGUGGGUAAGGUAUGUAGCCGACAUACGUGGGUCAUGGAUGCCCACAUCAUCAAUUAUAUCUUCCAAGUAUAAAGUGUACGUUAAGAAUCCCAAACCCCUGGCGCGCGUUAGCACCACCAUUCCUUGGAGAGACUAGAGAGCCAGCCGAUUUAUUGGCGACUUUUGGGGCCAAAAGGGGGGGGGGGAUUAAAUUCAUAGAUGCCUGCCUGCUUGCCUCUCUCUCUCUCUAACUGUGUCAGACUCUUUCUCUCUCUAGAGACUCUCUCUAUCUAAAUCCGUAUAUCUGAACAGCAGCAGAAAACAAAUACCCCGUCUUUAAACGCUGAAUGGUGCUGUCUCUUUCAAGUCUUGCAAAAGCAAAAGAGACGAAGAAGAACAAAAGAGAAGUAAAUUUGAAUAAAAAAAAAGAGGAGGGGGCAUAAAAAAAAAAAAAAUUAAAUUAAAAAAUGUAUGGUAUUUUUGAUAGAUGGGGGUGAUUUUGAUCUUGGGUUUGUUUUGCUUUUUUGCCUUAACCUUCCCCACUAGAUGAUGAGAUAAUGAUGUGCCCAACCUCAAUAACAAAUGCACAGCACCAAACUGAGGAGAGAGAGUGAGAGGGGGGGUUAAAGAGGGAAAAAGGAGGCACCUUUAUUUUUAUUUUUAUUUUUAUUUUUUUAUCCCACUCUGAUUAUUGAUUCCAGUUGGGUAUGCAGAGAAACCAACUGGGUUUCAUCCAAAUUUUCUUCAUAAUGAGUUUUGCUUUUGUUUUUUCACAUAAAGUUUCAAACUUGAUGCUUCUUUCUUCUGUACAGAGCUGGGGGAGAUGGAAAUAACCAGUUACGGGAAAAACCAUUUUUUUGCUUAUCCCAUUAAUGAUUCCAUUGCAGUUAGGCGAAAUAACAACUGGGUUCGGUUCAGCUUCUCUUUUGGCAUGAUUCUUCUCUCCUUUGUAUUCUUCAAAAGUGGUGUGGUUUUGAUGGGGUUUAAAAGCUUGGCAGAGUGAGGGGAAAGAAACUAAGUAUUAAACCGUAAAGUAGAGGACAGAGAGGAGAUCAAAGAGGUUGGACCACUAUAUAUUCUUGAUAUGGUAAGUAAUUCAAGCUGGGUCUGGUGAAAAAAUCAGCUGGGUUUCUUGCAUUUUCACUUUUUAGUUGAAUUUUCCUGGUGGGUUCUUUUGACGCUCGGAUUUUAAUGACUUUUGGGUGCUGGAUUUGGUGAUGAAUCAACUGCGUUUCCUGCAAUCUACUUGAAUCUUCUUACUGGGGCUCUCUUAAAGCCUUGGUUUUGAUGAGUUUUUCGGCUGUGGCUGGGGUUUUUCUUAAGCUCUCAAGACUCAUUUUGAAGAUAUGCAGGUGGGUUUUGCUUAAGAUGUCCUUGAAUUGCAAGCUUUCUGGCUUUAGUGGCAGAUUGCCGGCCAAUUUGAAGCUGAAGAAGUCAAAGGAGCCUUUGCAUGGGUCUAAUUGUGUCAGGAAAUGGAGGAGAAAGUUUCUGUUAUUGUGGCUUUUAGGAGUUAUUAUUGGCCUCAUUUGUUUUCUCUCAGUUUUGAAUGCUGGGGCUUUGAGUAGGAAGGAGAAGACUCCAGACUUGUGUGAAGAAAAAGCUCGAAUCUUGCUAGAGCAUUUCAAUGUCAGCAAGAACCAGCUUCAUUCUUUGGCUUCUUUAUUCGCUGAAUCAGAUCAGGUUCCAUGCUUAUCUCUCUUAAACUUGUAUGUUUAAUGCCUUUGGACUCUUCCUAUUUGUGGUUUUAACUCUUUGGCUUCUAGCUUGAAGUAGUUGCUGUUGAUAUUAACUGUUUAUGCUGAGAAAAUUCUUCUUUUGGUUUGAGAAGUUGACUGAACUUGGAUACUAGUACAGAGUAGGAUAUGGUGGCCAUGUUUUGAAACUUUCCUUUUUGUAGGAUUUGGUGACUCUGCUGUUUACACAUGCUUCUUGGUUUUAUUUACAAUUCGAAUUUGGUUGUUUGAAAGCUGGUUAGAAAUGAAAUACGAGGAAGAAAUGAAGUGAAGCUGAAAAUGGGAGUAUGAUAAAGUAAUGCUCUAAUGCAUAUUCAUUCUAGCGAUUGAGGUUGAAUUAGGUAUAAUUAGGCAGCCUUCAACCCUGUUCAGCUGUGCCUAAAGUAAUACCAAAUGCUUGAACGAAUAAUCUGCAAUUGGAGUGGUGAUGUCAAGUAUUCUUUUCCCAUGGUUUCUUCUAAGUUCCUUCUCCAGAAUAUGCUUUGUUGUUUUGGAAGUACUGGAAAUAAUAUAGUUUUCUUUCAAUAGUGUGAUGAACAAUGAAGAAGCUUAUAUACUAAAGAAUACAAAAAAGAAAAAACCAGAGAAAAACAAGUAACUAAGAUGCUGUUUAGGAACUUUGAUAUUAAAAGCUGUCUUGUUCCAUGUUCUAGAAAAGGGACAGUGGGAUAUUGACCAUAAAGCAAAUGUUGAAUUUUUCAAGUAUUGGCAAAAGAAGUAUAAAGAUGGCAAGGUCAUCCUGGGAAAGGAGGAUCAGGGGACCUCAUGAGAGAUGUAUGUUAUGAAUUUCCAAUUUAGUGAUUAUAAAAUAAUGUUUUAGUUCUUGCCACCAUAAUCAAUCAAACACAAUCUGCUUAAGAAUUUGGUUUAUCUUUGCCAUUAUUAUUGUUCAUCGAUUUGGGUGAUUUGAACAUUGCUGCUACAAUUACCAGGUUCAAACAUCAUAUAUGAACUAAGACCAAUUAAAGUCACUAGAAGAACAAAAUUGUUUGGAUUGUUUAUGCUUGUAUGCAUAUUAAAUCUCUCUGGCUCGUGUAUUGCAGAUAGCGUCCUUGGAAUGUACCAAAGAAGCAGGAUUUGAAAUGCCACCAGGCAAUGCUAUUGCCUGUGCACUUAAGGUACCAUGUUCACAGAAUCAAGAGUUUGAGAAGCAGCAUGAUCAGGCUGCAGAAAGUUUAGAACCUAAUGACCAAUGCCCAGUUCGAGAUGAGAACAUCCCUGGAAAGCUUGACCUAUCUUUGCUAGGGGACCAAUCUGCAUCAUUUAGUUCGCAGUCUACGUCUUCAUCAGUUUCGCUUGAUGGUCAGAGUGGUGAAAAGGUAGAUUCAUUCAUUGGUACCAGUAUGACAUGACUUUUUUGCUUUCUUUUCUCUGAAUUGAGUUCAUCAUGUGUGGAAAUUUCAGAAGUUCCUGUAAUUAACUAUGUCAUAAAACAUGCCCUAUGGGAUGCCUAUGGAGGAAACGUGUAGGAUAUAGCCACAUAGAACAUAAACAUUCAAAGCUAUCUAAUGGUGAUGCAAGAGAACAGCAUUUGUAUUUUGUAUACAUUGUGUGGGAAUGCCAUAAGAUUAUUUACAUAGUAAAUGCUUCCCCCGAGUCAGAAUGGAGUUUCUAUGUUAUAGGUUGUUCCUCUGGAAGUUCUCAAUACACACAAGGUUAGACAAAUGACAUAGAAUUGAUUUCAUGAAUCUGAAAUGUUUACAUUCCAAAAAAUUAUCAUGCUGAAUGUGAAGCAAUGAUGAGUGGAUAAAGAGGUCAGAUAAGAAUAAUCUGAUCAAAUUAAUGUUUAGUUUUUGGUUAAUUGAGUUGUGAAGAAUACAGUCAGGAAGUAGGAUGUGUUAAGCACGAAAAAAUAUGCAUGUGCAUUCAAUGUGAACUGAAGAAUUCAUGCCCUUUCAAACUGCUUAUAUGAAUAAUAAACUUUUCCUUAUUCUAAAUUCUUUGGUGAGAGCACUACUAGUUUUUACUGUAUUCUGUUUUCAUGUUUCUUUUUUUAUUAUUUCAUUCAGGGAGCUAGCUAAAAUUUUUAAAAAUGUUGGAGCUUAUUCCCAUGAUUUAGGAUACAAAAAGUUUAUCAAAAAAAAUGAUUUAGGAUACAAAAUGAUUAUUUGUUUAUUUUGUAUUUGAUUGGAAUAUCCUGCAGAUUAGGGCUCUGGCGAACUGUACAAAAGAGCACUGUGAGAAUUUUUCUCUCUGUUUGGUAAAAGUUGGUUGGUGGGUCCUUGUUGGAAUGGUUGUGAGCUGCAAGUUGUCUGGUUCUCAUGUGAAACUGUGGGGGAAUCGGAAGCAGAAACUGGUUGAGCAGCAGAAGCUGGUUGAGCAGCAGUCACAGGUUCAGCAGCAGCGGCAGUUGCGGCCGAAGCAGCAACAGCCGGCCCAGAGUUCAUCUAAAGUUGCUGGGAAGUGGAGGAAGAAGCUCCUAAUAAUAUUUGUCUUACUUGGGGUGAUUAUAUCUAUUUGGUUAUUUUGGCACUUGAAUAAGGAUAUUAACUUGAGAAGAAGGGAAACACUUACCAAUAUGUGCGAUGAACGAGCCCGGAUGUUGCAGGAUCAGUUCAAUGUGAGCAUGAAUCAUGUGCAUGCAUUGGCUAUUCUUGUUUCAACCUUUCACCAUGGAAAACACCCUUCUGCUAUUGAUCAGGUAGUGUUCCCAUCCAGCUGAUUCGGUUCUCACUCGCUCUAUCUCUAUCCUUUCACUAUACUAGAAGAAGGAGAAUCCUAAUACUAUUCAACAAAUUGAUUGAUUAAGGAUUCAGACAGAAAAGUAAAAACUUGUACGGUAGCAUUUUGCUGUCAUAAUUAUUUUGAUCUUGAUGAAUCUCUAUUCUUUUUCGCAGAAAACAUUUGGAGAAUAUACCGAGAGAACGGCUUUUGAGAGGCCACUUACUAGUGGUGUUGCUUAUGCUUUGAAAGUUCUUCACUCAGAAAGAGAACACUUUGAAAAGGAACAUGGAUGGACAAUAAAGAAAAUGGAAACUGAGGACCAGACUCUAGUCCAAGAUUGUAUUCUGGAAAAUUUAGAUCCAUCACCCAUUCAAGAUGAAUAUGCACCCGUCAUAUUUUCUCAAGAAACAGUUUCUCAUAUAGUAUCUAUUGACAUGAUGUCUGGAAAGGUGCAGCUUUUUUUUUUUCGUUAAUCUUAGGGUGCAUUUGUUCCUUUUCAUUGAGCAUUCUUUUGUGAAUCCCAUGAUUGAACUUCCCUGAUGAACAAUUUCUUCUUCAAUACACUUCUCUGCACCCUACUAAAUAAGAAACUCCUUGGUGCUUCAGUGUAAAAUUUAUUAGUUCAACGAGAAAUGGCUCCCUGGUCAACUGAUAGAGCUGAUGUAGUGAUUGCACUAUUGGGAAGAGCUUAUAUUCAAUAUCAAAAUUUCCUGUUAAUAUUUUUAAUGUUAUACAGGAAGACCGUGAGAACAUCUUGCGAGCUAGGGCAUCUGGAAAGGGAGUAUUGACAUCUCCUUUUAAGCUACUGAAAUCCAAUCACUUGGGUGUUGUACUCACAUUUGCUGUCUAUAACGCUGACCUACCUCCAGAUGCUACACCAGAGCAACGUAUUGAAGCUACUGUAGGGUGAGUUCUUUGUACAUAACCUGAGACUAAACUGUUUAUAUUUUCAAGACCAAACCACUGAACCUUAUGUUAAAAAAAAAGGUAUCUAGGUGCGUCUUAUGAUGUCCCAUCACUAGUGAAGAAGCUUCUACACCAACUUGCCAGCAAGCAGACGAUAGUUGUGAAUGUUUAUGAUACAACUAAUGCAUCUGCACCCAUCAAUAUGUAUGGUACUAAUGUUACAGAUACGGGCCUAUUGCGCAUUAGCAACCUUGAUUUUGGGGAUCCAGCUCGGAAGCAUGAGAUGCACUGCAGGUGAGCCUUUGCUGCUUAUUUAAGUACAUGUUUGUAAAGACAAGGGAUUACUGCAUCUUCAUGGUUAAAGUUUUUUUCCCUUUUGCCACAGGUUCAAGCAGAAGCCUCCUCCACCUUGGACAGCAAUAACGGCAUCAGUUGGGGUCUUAGUUAUUACUUUGCUUGUGGGCCAUAUUUUUCAUGCUGCCAUAAACCGAAUCGCAAAAGUGGAGGGUGAUUAUCGUCAGAUGAUGGAACUCAAAGUUCGUGCUGAAGCUGCAGAUGUGGCAAAAUCUCAGGUGCAUUUUAUUUUGGCCAAGUGGAUGGAUGGUUAUAAAUUUGUGACUGCAAUAUCUUUCCUCAGAACGAAUAGUUUAUCCUGAGGAUUUUUUUUUGAUAGGAAUAUCCUGAGGAAUUUUCUUCUUCAGCUUUAUUCUUUUCCCCAAUAAAAUUUCCACCUUGAUCAUAUCACUAAAGCAUUCUUCCUCUUUUGUAGUUUCUUGCAACUGUUUCCCACGAAAUCAGGACUCCGAUGAAUGGUGUUUUAGGUAAUGGAAAACUUCUUUUGAUUUACAUUUAUUGUCAUUGCAUUUAUAAAAAGAUUAAUUGACUGUUACAACUUCCAAUUCAAAUUUCAGGUAUGCUGAAAAUGCUGAUGGACUCGGGUCUUGAUGCAAACCAACAGGAUUAUGCUGAGACUGCUCAUGCUAGUGGGAAAGAUCUAAUAUCACUGAUAAAUGAGGUUCUUGAUCAGGCUAAGAUAGAAUCAGGAAGGCUCGAGCUUGAAGCUGUUCCUUUUGAUUUGCGUGCUGCUCUUGAUAAUGUUUUAUCACUCUUCUCAGGCAAAUCUCAUGAAAAGGGGAUCGAGGUAAGAACCAAUUUUUGCCUUCUCACAUGUUUAAUCUAUUUCUUUUUUGGGUUGGUUAUUGCUUUUACUGUUACGUGAUGCUACUUCUUACUUAAAUUUGGUUCUGGAUGUUCUUUUCGGUGAGAGCAGUUGGCUGUCUACAUCUCUGAUCAAGUGCCUGAAUUUGUCAUUGGAGACCCCGGGCGCUUCAGGCAGAUAAUUACCAAUCUUGUUGGAAAUUCAAUAAAGGUGGGUUAUAUUUCUUAUUUCUUGCAUUUUUGGGGGGAAUUCAUUCAUGGUUGGCAAUGCAUUCACAAUGCCAAUUGACUUCAUCCAACAUUUAUGGCCAAAUUCCAUUUCCUGAUUUUGUUUUCCACUAAAGCAGAUGGAACUUAUUUGAUAUCCCGAAAUAUCAAAAUUUAGAUUCUUCCAUACCUAAGCAUAUUUUGGAUUGCAUCCAAUCAAGGCAACUUGAAACUUGGAUCCAUGCAAGAAUGAAAAUGCCAUACAUGGUUUUAGUGUAUUGAUUUCUAAAAUGCUCAUAUUGCAGUUCACACAUGACAAAGGGCAUAUCUUUGUCUCGGUGCAUCUGGCAGAUGAAGUGGUGGGGCCACCUGAUCUCAGGGACGAAGUGCUGAGACAGAGCUUGAAUAUAGUCCAUGACAGCUCAAACAAUUCCUAUAAUACAUUGAGUGGGUUUCCUGUGGUCAACAGAUGGAAAAGCUGGGAGAAGUUUAAAAAGUUAAGCUGCACAGAUUCAAUGGAGGAAACCAGCAUAAUUAAAUUAUUAGUGACUGUCGAGGAUACGGGUGUGGGAAUACCUUCAGAAGCUCAAAGUCGAAUUUUCAUGCCUUUUAUGCAGGCUGACAGUUCCACUUCUCGAACGUAUGGUGGGACUGGAAUAGGAUUAAGCAUUAGCAAGCGUUUGGUGGAUCUUAUGGGUGGGGAAAUUGGGUUUGAGAGUGAACCCGGCACUGGAAGUACCUUCUCAUUUACUGUGGCUUUCACAAAAGGAGAAACUAGUUUACUAGAUACAAAGCAGCAACCUCAUGAUCCAGCUGGUUCUGAGUUCCAAGAAUUGAGAGCCUUGGUGGUUGAUUGUAGAAGCAUCCGAGCUGAGGUUACAAGAUAUCAUCUUCAGAGAUUGGGCAUAUCAGUCGAUAAAACUUUCAGCCUAAUAUCUGCAUGCUCUUAUCUGUCCAAUAAUUCCGAUCCAAGGUAGAUUUCCAUUUCACUUAGUAUUUUUGUAACUAAGGAUCAUAGUGACUUGAAUUUGAGAAUUCGAAACGAAGCCAUUAAAGAGUUGAGACUUCAAUAUACAUUGAUAUCAUUAAAUGCAUAAGAAAACCCACAGUACUACUUAUUUGGAAUAACAUUAGCAUCAGAAUAUGAAAGGAAAUCAUGGAAAAUUUUCUUCCCCCGUCAAUGUAGUUGAGUUAUAAUAUAUUAUGGUAUUGUAGUUUUUUUGUGCUUGAUUUUUCUAAUAUAUUAUUGAUCAUGUGUCUGCAGUGCAUCAACUAGUGUAGCUAUGGUUCUGGUUGACAAAGAGGUUUGGGAUAAGGAGGCUGGUCUUGUUUUCCAUCAUAUGCUCAAAGAGCUCAGGCCAAAUGGCACUGUGGAAGUCCAAGAAAAACGUCCAAAAAUAUUCCUUUUGGACACCUCUCUGAGCUCUGCUGAGCGCAAUGAGCUCAAAUCAGCUGGUUUUGUGGAUAAUGUACUAAUGAAGCCUCUUCGGUUAAGCGUAUUGAUUUCUUGCUUCCAGGAAGUCUUUGGAAUUGGCAAGAGAAAGCAAGCGAAUAGAGGAAAACCAUUAACUCUUGGGAAUCUGUUAAGAGAAAAGCGAAUCUUGGUGGUGGAUGACAAUGCUGUUAACCGAAGGGUGGCAGAAUUUGCUCUCAAGAAGUAUGGAGCAAUUGUCACCUGCGUGGACAGUGGCAAGGCUGCUCUUUUGAUGCUUAAGCCACCCCAUAACUUUGAUGCUUGCUUCAUGGAUCUCCAAAUGCCAGAGAUGGAUGGGUAAUGUGCAGAACUUUAAUCUUCUUUUUCUUUUGUCUAAAUUGUGAAUGCAAAGGAUAUAUCCCUUUGGCACAAUAAUGGACCUAGGCAUUUGCCUUUUCUGCAUGAUCAGUAGCUAAUAAAUUUGGUUACCCUACACUGGCUUGUUGAGAUAAUUCUGGUUAUGUAGACCAAAAUUGUUGAUCUUGUUUAUACUUGUUAAAAAAUGCCAGACUCAUACAAAGGGGGAGGGGAAAAUAGUGAUGGGUGGUGAAUAAGUGAGUUGUUGAGCAUCUUUUAGAUAAGUCAUAAGUGUACUGUUCAAUUUAGAGUUUUUAUUUUCUUAAAUUUUUAAUUUUUCAGGUUUAGAGCAACACAGGAAAUCCGCCGAAUGGAGAGCAAGGUUAAUGAGAGAAUUAAAUCUGGAGAAGUAUCAAUAGAGAUGUUUGCAAAUGUGGCUUAUUGGCACACACCAAUUUUAGCAAUGACUGCUGAUGUUAUUCAGGCAAAUAAUGAAGAGUGCAUGAAGUGUGGAAUGGAUGGUUAUGUGGCAAAGCCAUUCGAAGAAGAUCAGCUUUAUUCAGCAGUGGCACAUUUCUUUGAGUCUGGUUAAUGGAGUGGGACUGACAUGUUUGUGGGUUGUUCAGUAGUGGUCCAGCCAGUUGGUUGAUCUGACUUUGUUUUCAGACUUGACUCCCCAAGCUAGAUGGCUGUCCAACAAGCGACAAGCCUGGCUGCUGUGAGAUGGUGUGAUUUGCAGGUUCAACCACUGUUUCUGCCUUUCCUAAUAUGGUAACUUUCUUAACAUUAUUCUAUUGUUUAUUGACUUUUGAUUUGCAUGUAGGCUCAAAUUCAUCAUGUUGACACCAUGAAUUUUUCUCUUGAAAUCUCCCAUUCUCAUAUAAGGCUUCAUCAUCAUCAUCAUCAUCUCCUCUUAACUUCUCCCUCACGUGGCCAUUUGGGAAUUGUUUAUUUGUUUUCAGGGAUGCUGGAUCGAAGUGGCAUGGAUACAAGGAGGGAGAGCAUUAACUGCUUGUGGCCAGUUUGUUCCCAGCCAUUCCUUAUCUUAUGAUCACCUGCUGUGGAUAAUAAGAGAAAAGGGGGCUAUUUUUCUUGUAUAUAACCCCUUUCCUUUGAUGCCCUAUUAUUUAUUUUUGUGAUAUUUUGUGCAUUCUUCCUUAAUCAGGUUUGAGCCUGAAGUGAUAUAGUGGUGAGACACCCAUAUUUGAACUCUGAUGAGAUGAGUGAGUUGUCUUUCCGUCACCCAAGAGUUGCUGGAACUGGAAGAAUGCAGGCAGAAGAUCCAAAUUCUCAAGAGGGUGAAAGAUUGAAUCAUUCAUAUUAUUAUGAUUGUUUGGACAUUAUAUCACCGAAGUUCAAAUCUACCCAUUAUGAGGGAGAUUGGGCAAAGUACCAAAAAGAGGUGAUGACUAGAAGCAAUAGUGAAACACGAGGGAGGAUAUACAGAACAUAGAAGACCAUUUCCGGGUUGGCAAUAGGUCAUUAUACUAGUUUGCAUUCUUACAAGAUUUUCUAUUCAUUCUGGGUUGUUCUACUGAUGGUAGAGGGAUAUGAGGAAUUGAAUAUCAGUAUUGCUCAUAAUGUUGCAUUUUGUGAAUAAGGUGUUUUUUUCCUGUUGAAAUUGAGUGUCGUUUCACCCUGAACUGAAUUGUAACAAUUCUUUUUGGUAUAAUGUAUAAAUGAUAGUUUGCUCGAUUUAAGUUUCCGUUCCCCUGCACAUAUUUUCAUUUCAUUUGUCACCCAUCUUUGUUGCUGUACCUGGAGAUUUGUAAUAAUGCAAUGGAAUAGGAAAACCCAAAAAAAGAAACGCAUUUCUGAUUUAAGUGUAAGUUUCUUGUAGAGUAGUUGCAGACAAAGCUCACAUAGGAAGCUCCUCUAGAACAGGUUGACCAAGGGCUGUGAUGAAUUUUCCAUAGCUUAAUCUGCAUUACUCUAUCAAUGAAACAGUUGAGACCGAGGAAUUAGGUGUUUUCAGCAGAGAAAACAGGCCAAAAUCUUCACAUCCAUGUGCACCAUGUAGAGGGUCAAAGCGAUCCUUGAUGCUCUGUUUUUUUCCAUUAGGUGGAAUGACUUUGGCCUUUUUGAAAAGUCCAAACCACCUACUUAUCUUUCAUCUAACAACUGUAAAGGGUCCUUACUUUAUUUUGUAGUGAUUGGGUUUUUGAGAAUGUCAAAAGAGAUUUUCAAAUAUUCUAAUUGAAAGGGAGCAGCUCUAUGUGGUCACAAGACUACACUGUUGGGUGGAAGGUUAUCUGUUAUAUCACCAUCUCUCUCUCUCUCUCCCUCUCUGGCAGAAAGAAACAAUGCCAAUUUCCUUGCUGAGGAUUGUGCUUGGUCUACUUCUUUUGGUGUCAACAGGAACAAAAUCUGGUAAUUUUUCCAUUGCCCAUUCAAGUUUUAUUAGCUUUUGCUUCAUAAGAGAUUGGCUAAACCACGAAAACUUGUAUUCUUGGUCUUUGGUUUUAUAUGCUUAAUGAAAUCUCUGAAAAUCUGAUAGUUCAUCAAGUAUUAUGCUUCUUUUCUAAUGUUGCUAUUUUUUGGUUGAAUGCUUUAGCUGGGGAGUUCGAGCAAUGGUGCAUAGCUGAUGAGCAGACCCCAGACGAUGAGUUGCAGGCAGGCAUUGAUUGGGCUUGUGGGGAAGGAGGUGCAGAUUGUAGCAAGAUUCAGGUGAACAAGCCUUGCUAUUUGCCCAACACUGUGAGGGACCAUGCUUCAUAUGCCUUCAAUAACUACUAUCAGAAGUUCAAGAACAAGGGUGGAACCUGCUACUUCAAUGGUGCUGCCAUGAUCACUGAACUCGACCCAAGUAAGCACUGAUGAAUCCCAGAGUGAACUCCUCUGUUUGGUUCUCUGAAGUCACAUUUGGUAUGGCUAAAAGCCACACUGCUGAUCAAAUAAUUGAAUCUGAUCUUGAUCGCAGUCACCAGCAUUGGCAUCAUAGUCAUCUGACAUGGUACUUCUUCUGCAAAUAUUCCAUGUUUGUACAAGCUACUCCUUGAAUCAUCACAUGGAGUGAUGGCGGUAAACCAAGAAUGAGGCAGCUCCAUGUGCCUGGAAAGUGUAGGCCAUGUGAGUAGGCUUUGCCCAUGUCUUGCUAAAUACCUUUUAAAAAAAGUAGAGGUGGGCACACUUUACCUUUGAUCGUGCCGUAAAGGAUUGAAGAAACCAAACCAGCUGCAUCAACCCCCCGUGUGGGGUUCAGCUAAAUCAUGUUUGCUGUUUAAAUUAUUAUAGUAUAAAGUUACCUUUUCACCAGGGGGGGUUAAUACUUGUUCUCUCGAUCUCAAGACUACGUUAUUGAUUAGUACAAGACCUCUACUUAACCAUUGCUUUGAUACCUUGCUAAACUAUUAACUGACUAAAAAACUCAUAACUCUUAUGAUUUGAGUCCAUAAUGUCUGAUUCUGCGACAGUCGUGUAUUUUUUUCAUUUGGUAUUUUCUUCUUGGAUGGUAGUUUUACUUCUAAAUGUUUUGUGUAUAUGCAGGUCAUGACUCUUGCCAUUAUGACUUCAUUCCUUGAUUCGAAGGCAAGUCUAGUUUAUGAAGUCCCAUGAGCAGAAUUAAAGUUGAAGACUUUUUCUUUUCUUUUUGUCUUCUUGAGGAAAGAUUCCCAUAAAGUUUGCUGUAGUUCUUCCUUCAUAGCUGAGUGGUGGGGUUGAGUUUUGUAUCAGGAGCAAACUUCAAGUCUUGCAGAAAUGGGGUUGUAAACAUUUUUGGCCUGACUUCAAAGGAAAACGAAUUUUAAAGCUGAGAAAGGUAAAUGAUUUUGAGCUUUUCGACCAUUCUGCAAACUAAAAAAUAACAGGAAACAAUGCUUCAAAGAAUUUGAUAUAAAUCCGUCAGAAUGAAAUUACACUGAAUUACAAGAGAGAUGUAGCAGAAAGGAAAAACAAAGUUCUAUAAGUUGGAUGCAAUGGGCUUUCACCUGUCAAUGAAUUCAAUCAAAGAAACAAUGUAUUCUAUGGGCUCACAACUAGGGCAUUUAGCUCCCAAUCUCUGAUUCUCAGGUGAGAAAACUUUGAUGGUAUUUUGAACAGUGAAAAUACUUAAGUAUCGCUACUUUCAUUUCCAAUUUCAGUGUUCUGGAAAUAAAUGUAGGAUGCAUUUACCCGUUUCCUAUUCCCAGCUCUCUUCCUGUUUGUAUAAUCUCCUUGGUAGCAUCUUCUACCGUAGAAACUUCUCCAUCUCUUUCGAAUCCAAUGUUUUUCUCCGUUUCCCUUCUCUUUCCAAUGGCAAAUCUAGUUUUGAAGUGCCUGUAAAACAUAUUAGAAAGAACGAAUUCCCAAUCCCUUACAGAAGUAGUUUUUAAUGGGAUGGACCAUUGAAUUCACUCAAUAUAAACUAGCUCAAAUCCCACAAAAAAGAUGUACUGAUGAGUUCUUUGCACCUUCAUCUUAAAAGUGAAUCAAGGAAGAGCAGAUCUUUUAUCUGUGUUGCAAACAUAACAGAAAGCAUAUUAAAAAAUUUUGGUCUUUUUAUUUUCUCAGCAACCAAACAUGGCAAUCAGAAAUCUAAUAAAUUAAUAGCCUAUUUUCAAGUAGUGCUAGUGGGAGAGUAGGGAGAGGGGUUGGGUUAUGGGUGGUGUUGGGUUUAGGGUUAAAGCCUUGGGCUAUGGCCUAUGGGUCACACACAGCAUUGCCUAGAGAUGCGUCAAUUGUGCCCAAGAAAAAAAUCCAUCAUUCUUCAAAUGAACCCACCUGGUGUAUUCAAAGAGAGAUAGACAUAGCUGAUCAGAAACAGAACUAAUAAUCAAGGUUUUAUGGGAAUUGCAGUAAGAAAUUGAUCUGAAACAAAUAAUUUUACAACCAGGAGAUCACUCGUCUAAGAAUGAGUAGCUAUUUGACUAACUAAAUGGCAGUUGGUGCAGCUGCCAUGAUCAAGAAGAGCAUUUCUGUAAACAAGCAGUCAAUAAAUCUGGGGUUACACAUAUAAGUUGCUCAAUUAACAUUAAAGCCUUUAAAAUCACCUGGAAUCAAUGUUGAGGAUCACCUUGUGAUCCUCAUGAGUUUCUAAUUUUCUGAGACUUGGCCCUAAGCCAUGUAUCGAAUCUUUUGUACAUUUAGACCGUGGAUUGUCAGAACAAAGCUAAAAGUGGGCUUUCUUACUUGUGCUUGCCUAGAUUUCUAUUCAGCCUUCACCUCUGUUGCAGCCUGAAGCAGCUCAUCUGGAGUUGCAGUCUGAAGCAGCUCAUCUGGAGUUGCAGCCGGGUCCAAAUCCCAGCACCCUUCUGGCAGGUUACUUGCUUCUCCUUUAAGUAACCAGGACGGUACCUGGUGUGAAAAGCGUAGCAUCUCUCUUCUCGGAAUCCAUUGAAUGGCAUUCUUGUCAGUAUUCCUCUGAUACACAGUUUUGAAACCAUCCAAUUUAACAAGGGGAACAAUACAUACACCAAGCUCUUCAGAGUAAUCAUCAAGAACCUCCACCAUCUCAUACUGGUGCCUUACUUCAUCUGGGGUUGAUCGAUUCCAAUCUGGUGACCAGUUCCGAUACACAGCCCAAAUAUUUCCACUUUUGGGGUAAAUCCGAACACAGCCUCCCCUGCCAGCCUUCUCACCGCUUAGCAAAUGAGAGAAGAUGUUAACUUGUUCAACAAUAUCAGAAUUCCAUGCCCUGAAAUUUCCACAAGAUUUGGUAAACCCAGAAUCUAUCCAAUUUACGGACCCAAACUCGGCAUCAGUUUUAGAGUUCAAGUAACUAAUAUGAACUUUAAAUGGUUUCACGGAGAUCACUUCACGGAUCAGACAAUAUAAGCGAGGCAUACCAUCUUCUUCAUCAUAUAUAGCCCAUAUUUGCUUUGGCUUGAAGCAUUCCUCUGACCUGUCCUUGUCAAAGUCGUGGAAGUCUGGGUCAGGGACUGUUAUUGAAGUAGUAGACCCAGUCCUAUGCAGUUCAGACUGAUGGCCAGGAACUCCCAGAUAUGCUCUUUUAGGUAACUCUACAUUCUCCCUAGCUGCAGCUGCUGCAACUGCUUCAGCUGCUUCUCUUGCUGCUUUUGCAGCUGCUGCUGCCUCUGCCGCCGCUGCCGCAGCCAACUUCAUCUCUUCCAAUUUCUUUCUUAUUUCUGUUCUUGCCUUCUCAAUUAACAACUUUCUAGCAUCAAAUGCGGGCGCAACUGAUGGACGUUUAGCUACGGUCUCACUUGCGGUGGAAAGCUUGGGAUUAAGUCCAACAUUUCCAUUUCCAUUAGCUGUUGUGACUUCUGUAGCCGUUUUCGAACCCAUUUCAUCAUUCCCAUUUCUAGAUGCACCUCUACCUUCAAUUUUCCUUUUCUUAUCAGGUCUAUUGGCCUUAGAGCCUAAAUGUUCAUUACAAACGGUACCCACAUUCACCAUGCCAUUUUUGACAGCAUGUUUCCCACUGGCUCCUGAUCUAACCUUCUCUCCUGCUCUAUUAAUGCUCUCAGUGGUAUGAUAAACAACAUCAGCAGAUUUAGCAGCUGAUCCAUUAGGACCCCCAAUUCCAGUAGAAGCAGCAGGGAAUGAACUCCACUGGAAUGGCACGUUUGGAACAUACUCAGACCCAUGUCCAGAAUGAUAUCCUGAAACCCCAUUUCGUGAAUAGAAAGUUGCAUUGGUAGGAAAAUAUGUAACCCCAUUGAAUCCAUGAGUUCCAUACCCAUUUUCAUGCAAGUGCGACCAUGAACAGUAAGGGAAUGAACCAUUCACUGGGGCUGUCCCCGUUUCCACAGCCAUGAAAGUACCCCGGCAGUUCUUACAAGAGAGUCUCUUAUUCAAGUACUUCCGAAGAUACUCAUACUGAACUUUACAAGAGGUGCAAACAGUCCAGAAAGUGUCAAGUCUAGUAUGAGUAACUGGUGAAUGGGAACAAUUGUCAAAGCCUGUAAACCCAGCAGUAUGAGCUGAAGCCGAGCUUCUCUGGACAACUGCAGACGACAAUAGUUGGCUCCUCCUGAGAUCAUAAGAGCUUCGCUUAGCACUAUCUGACAACAGAGUCCAUGCUUCAGAAACAAGCUUGAAUGCUCCAUCAGCUCCAACAGUUUUGUUUUUAUCAGGGUGAAGCAAAACAGCGAGCUUCCUAUACUGUUUCUUCACAGUUGCCUUGUCUGCAGUUGGCAACAAUCCAAGAAUGGAAUAAUAAUCAGUUUCACCAUUAACUUUGACCUCAGAAGCAAUAUAAACCUCAAAUGUAGCCACCAUUUGAGAUAUACCCUCCAGGUCCGGACACACCGACUGGGCCUUCAAAGCAAAAUUCUUUGCACCGGCAAAGUUUUUCUCAGCAAAUUGCUUCUCCGCAUUCUCUUUAGCUCUAAGAGCCUCCUCUUUCUUCAAUUCCAUGGAGAAAUUGGAUCACUUCAAAACCUGAUUCUGAAAACAAAAUCUAUGACCAACCCAAAAUGCUCAACCAUAGAACCCAGUUGGCACAUUUAACCAUUUCUACAAAUCUGCACAAAUAUAUGGUGAGAACAUUCAAGUCAUUUACCAUUUCGAAUUCCAUAUAAAGUUCAAAUCAACAUCAAAAUUUAUAGAAAUUGAAUUUUAAACUAAGUGAAAGUCCAACUGACUAAAUCAAACAGCUCUCAAUAAUGAGGAAAAUCAAUGCUGAAACAAAUCCCGGGAAUUCUAAUUCAAAUCAAAAUAUUUCAACCACAACUUCGAUUUUGAGCUGAAAUCAGAAACCCCAAUUCAUAAAACCGCCCAAAACAGUGAAAAUUCAGCUAAACAACCCAAAUAAUAAAAACCCCAACGCCACAAACGCCCUGUUUGGUAGCUGCGAAAACAGAAGAAAACAAAAGAAAACCAAACCCCAGACCACACACUCUUCCAUUGCUGCAACUCACCCUAAUGUUUCCCAUGUUAACCAUAAACAGCACAAACCAGAAAACUCCAAAUCACUUCCCCUUUCCCUCCAUUUUCUCGGCAACCAAACAGCACCUAAAAAUCACAACUAAAACAAUCCCACAAAGAUCGAAACCGAAUAGCCCAAACCCCCAUAAGAAUUCAACACUAAAUCUAAACCCCACUUCAAAUUCAAAAUUAAACAAAAAUUUAAAAAUAAAAAACAAAGUGCAAUAAAACAAUAACAAAAAAAAAAUUAACUGUUCACUCACUGAGAUUUAUAGAAGUGAACAAAACCCAGAUCCAAGAAAGCUUCACUGAUCCCCACAUUUCCUCCACUGCAAUUUCAGCAAAACGAAAAGGGCUCUUUUGUAAAUCUGAGAACUGAGACCACUACACGAGGCUUUUGUUGCAGAGACAGAAAGGAGUGGGAUAGAGUGUGACCAAUGGAAGAUUAGGGUUUUGAUGUAGAGCGCCUGUCAAUUGACAUGGGUCAGAUUCCGGCCACGCAGGCCAGUUGAGUCAGAUUCCGACAAUCGGCGCCUGAGAAAUAGGGUAAUAAUCAGGUGAAAGUAAACGGUGGUUUUUAGUUAAUGGGAUUUAAUGUGGGAGAUUCUACAGUACGCUCUUGUGCGUAGUGCGCUCUAGGGUUGUGUUUGGUGUUGAGUAAAACAGUGGGCUUCACAAAGUUUUAAUUUUUAAUUUUUUUUUUCAUUUUGCUUUAAUAAAGAAAAAUCCCGUGAAUAUUUUAUUGGGCGGCGAAGAUGAGUUUUAUUAAUAUAAUAAUAAUAAUCGAGAAUUGCUUUUUUAUAUAUAUUAAAAUAUUGGAGUUGAAUUAUUGUAGCAUCCAAACAGAGCUUUUAAAUAAAUAGAAGUUAUUGAGAACAAUAUUUGAAAUAAUAUUAUUGAUGUCUAGCAAAUAAGACAAUUAAUUGACCAUUGAUAUUUACCCUUUUUUGUGUCUACUAUUGUAGUAAUUUGAUCUCUCUCCUUUAUAUCCAUUUGAAAUUUAAAUUUUUAUUUUUGAAAAAUACUCAAAUGUACCAUAACUAUAAAGUUUGAUAGUGGAAUUUUCCAUAAAAAAAAUUAAUAGAAUUUGUCAUGUCAUACCUAGUUAUAGUUGGUCAAUCUCUAAUCUUAUGGAAAUUUUAAUUAUAAUAUGAUGUGCAUGAAUUUUAAAAUUCAUUUAGGUAAUUGUUUUUUUGGUGCAAUUGAUCGAGUCAAAUUCAACUUUUAAGUUAAUAUUAUUUUUUAAGUAGAGUUGGGUUGUGAUAGUUUAAGCCUAUAUUUUGUCUUGAAGUAUAAAAUCAAUCAACAAUUGUAAAUCAAUGAAUGACAACUAAAGAGUAAGGUUUUUUUUUUUUUUUUCUUUGUCGAUUCAUGAUUGAAUCAUGAAUCUUAUGAUUAAAUCACGAAUCUUGAAACUCUUCUUUUUCUUGACAAAUGUUUUCGGCUUUAAUCGGCUUUAAAAAUAAAGUCAUCUAAGUUGGAAGCUUCCAAAAUUAAAGUUUCUUAUAGUUAAAGGACAAACUCUGUCGAUCGACUUCAGACAUUUUAAAAGCUAACACUAGUCGCUACUAGGAAAUCAAUAUGGAUCUUUUCUGACAAUUAUAACGGUCCAACCUCAAAUUUAAGAUAACCAAACCUAGUUAAGUGAGUAUAAAUAUUCAUUUCAAUAAAUUAAGGCAUAUUUGUUGAAAAACCUAAUUCAUUCUAAAACCUCCUACUUAUAGCUUUCUAAAAAUACUUGAAUCAUAAUUUGGUUAUUGGAGUGUUCACACUAAUGCUUUGUCAAUGUGUUUUUUUUAGAUUAAGAAUAAUCUUAAGCAAUCUAAGUCUAAUUCUCCAUCUUAACUAUGGACCAAUCAAUACAAUACUUUUAUAUUUCAUAACUCCUUUUCUAUUAUCAUUAUAAUAUAAAUCCAAAUAAGAUUCAAUUCGAACUUCCAUUACAUUAUAUAAACUAUCUCAAUGUUUCUUAUUUAUUAAAAAUCAUGAUAAAAAGAGUAAAAAUACUUUUCAAAUAAUUAUCCUCUCCCUUUCUUCUUUUUUUUUUUUUUAAAUAGUUUUAAAUAAUUAAUCCUUCUUAGAAUUUUUACGAUAGUCAAGGUUUACAAAUGUAGUAUACCCUUAUAGUAUCAUUUUAUUUUGUGCAUAAUUAUUAAUUAAGGGGAAUCAUGUGGACACCUAUCUCAAUUUUAUGAUACUAUACUCACACUCCCUUGAUUGAUGACGGACCAAAGUGUAAUGUGAUCACCCCUUAAUUGAUGACUACUAUUGAUUGUUAUAUGACUAAUGAAUUAAUCAUUUAAUAUUUUUUUGAAAACCCCAAAAUAUACUUCAUUCAUAUGAUAAAAAUGUAUUUUAGAGUAAAACCAACUCAUUAAGAAUUAUAAUAACUAAUUUUCCUUAAUCACUUUCUCCAUUUUUUUUUGAACCUUAGAAUGCCUUUUCCACUCAUUCAAUCCCUCUUUACUUCUUAUCUCUUUUUAAUUCAAACCCUUAAUCAAUUCAACCUCUUUUUUUACUUCUCAUCAAUUUUCAAUUUCAAACCCUAAAUUAAUUUGAUAUGCUCUUUUUGUUGGGAAUCCUGGAUUACUAUGUUCCUUGGCCCUGAAUCUCAUAAGGUACAUGCAUUAUAUUCUUAAGGCUCUCUAAAUCUAAUGUAGUGGAAAACUAUGACUAUAAAAAUCAAUAAUACACUAGAUCUAGAGAUAAUGAAGUUAUACUUGUGAUUUGAAUGUUCCUAGAUUAAAACCACAACAAAAAAGUUGUUAAACUCAUGUGUCUGGUGUUCUUUCACCUAAUCUCUCCUCACAUGGAUCCAAGCAUGUAAGAGAAGUACGAGUUUCUCUUCCUUCUUGAGGGUGGUUGGGGUUUCUCUUUGGAAAAAUCUCUCUAGAAGGCAAUGAGGCAAAAGUCUGAAGCCUUAACUCCUAACAAAGUCUUGAUAGGUUUUUUUGUGGGCUUAAGUGACUUGAAUCCAAAUUAGGCUUGUGUUAUUUAACCUAGUCCACUUGGGUUCUAAUUUAUUAAUUAACUUUAUUGAACUCCAAUUAAUUAAUUAGCUAUAUUGGGUUCUAAUUAAUUAAUUAACCCAUUUUAGAAAGACAAUUCAUAAUAUCUAGUGCAACCUUAUUCUUUUACCAAAACACCCUUAUAUACACUUAUGAACCAAAAACCUAAAUCCCUUAAAAAAAAAAUGUGCCACCAUGAACUAGGAGCUUGAGCGAGGAACAUUGGAACUCAUAGAAAAAUAUUGGCUCAUUCAAAAUCCAAUUUAAAAUUGAUUUAACACUCUAUUAAAGAGAAUCAAUUGCACUAUAAUCUCUUAUGAAAUUACAAUGAGGCAAAGCUCAUCAACUCUGUAACCUACUAUCCACUAUAAGAAUACCAAACUAGUCUCCUAUGAAAAAUCUAACCCAUAGGUUUGGAUGUUCUCAAACCUUAAAUUCCAAAUGUUGAAGACAACCUUGAAGACUUAGAGAUCUUUCACUUGAUGACUCAUCUUUGAGCUUUGACAUAGAGAUAAUAGAAAUCUCUGAAGAUGGAGUCUAAAGCUUUCUUUAGAAUGUGAGAGGGAGAAUAGAAGAAUGCAAGCCUAACUUCAUAAGGGGUAUUUAUAAGGUUCUUAGUAGGCUUAAGUGGCUUAAACCCAUCUAGAGCUUAAGUCACUUAAUCUAGCUCAAAAAAAAUCUUAAUUGAUUAAUCAACCCAACAUGACUCCAAUUAAUCAAUUAGCAUAACCUUCAAAUGUUGUCCACUAAUUUCUAUGCAACCUUACGUAAUUACCAAAAUGUUCUUAUGUUCAUAAGUAACUUAAAGUUGAUCCAACACUCAUAAAACGUGUCAACAAGGUAUAUGAGCUUGAAUGAGUACCAUUAGGAUCCAUAGAAUAAUAUUGACUCCCUUAUAAUUCAAUUUUGAAGUUGAUGUAACAUCUCGCUAUAACGAGUCAACUAUACUCCAAUAACUUAUAUAUAUUACAACGAGACACUAAGUGUUCGGACUCAUGACCUGUUAUCCUUUGUAUACAAUCUCUUUAUAAAUUAAUGUUCAUAAUCUAACAAAGUGAAAACUAUCAACCUCUAAAAAUUACAUCUACCAUCCUUAAGUUUCAGAUCCUUUCAUAGUGUGGUUAAUUGACAUAUCUUAACUCACUAUAGCUAAUGUCAAGUUCCACUUAAGGAAUUAUUAUGACCAUAAUUUACCUAAAUGCACAUUUUUAGGAUUACCCAAAAGGACAUAUUGUUUCAAUUCCAUGAGAUAUUAUGGUACAUCUAUUGAGAAUACUUAUUGCUACUAACUUCCCAUAAUUGUGACCCAAUUCAUAUGGAAUAUAUGAUCGCUUUAAGAUUUUAUUCGUAGGUUAAAACCAUUGUUAAGUUUAACACAAACCUAAUAUUCUCUUAAGGUUAAUAGACAAUACAACAUAACAACUUGGUAAAAUGAUGAUUAUUCGAUAGUCUUAUGUCUUGUCUAAUAUGUAACCAUAUAUAUUAGUGCACUUACCAUGGGAAACUCAUACAAUGACCAAAAUUAGUCAUCUCUCUAAUUAAUAGGUAGUAUACUACAAUCCUUAAUGGAUUACCUUAGUUUAUGAACUGGUUGUGAACAAGUCUUCUACUUGCAAGAAAUCCAUGACUUGGAUCUUCCGUACAACUCCUAAUGCACCGAAGUCAUAUACAAUGUAAGAGAUACUGGACAAUAAUGUUCCUAAAGUACAAUGCAUGGAGUAAAAAUGGAUAAAAGUGAAACUAUAAUAUAAUUAAAUAAGUAAUGAAUUCCAAAUAUGUUAUAUCAUGUCAUGUUUUUAAGGGUUCUAUCCUAACAUAUAUGACCACUUUAGGGUCUCACCCAUAGGCCAAAACCUCAUAUUGAUUUUGGCUACACAACUUGAAUAGUCCCUAUCUUUUUUCAAUACUUGUUUUGUCUGCAUAAUUAAUUCCUCUACUCCUUCCAUUGAUCUUUCUUCAAUGAUUUAUCAUUAUUUCUUGCACAACUAGUUCCUAUUCUUGAAAUUCUUACUCUAUCAUAAUUGGCUCCACUCUUACCUUCACUAAGUUUUUACCUUGUUUACUUCAUCUAUCUUAGUUGCUUUGCUAAAAUGGUAUUGGUUUUUCUCUCAAUCAUCCUUCCCAACAUGUCCAAUUAUGGUUAUACUUCCCAUAUGAGAAACAAUCGAGGGUUGGAGACCUUUUCCUCUUGCUUCAUAGCCUUGGUUAUCAAUUUCUUUUUUUCUUACUUUUUUAAGUCUAUGGGGUUGUUAUAUCAACAGUGAGGGUUUCAAUGACUCAUUAGUAGGGCUAUUUAGUCCAUUGGUCUCAUAUCAAAUAAAGUGUAUUAUUCUAUCAUAAGUAUUAUGACAAUUUUCUUUUAGAUUACCAUGUUAGCCCAAAAUACAUGUCAUAGCAUGCCUACAAGAACUCUUGAAAUCUACCAAGCCUUGCACCCAUAAUCUUACCUUUCAAAAUUCAAAACAACCUUAUUACAUAACCCUUUGUUGACAUUAAAUUCAGAAUCUCCCGUAAAAAUAACGCUACAAUUCUUUCUUUUAAAUCUUCCUUGGUUAUGACAUUUGAUGUGUUGGAAUUUCAUCUUAAGUCUAUUCGUAAUUCUAUUUCUAAUGAAAUCAAUCAUAUGCAUAAUAGACUUUCUCUUUGACUUACCAAUCGAUUAGUUAAAAAACCAUCAUAAUGUUUGUAAUGUGAUCAUUUUUUACUUCUUUAGCAAAAGUAUAACGGGUCUACUAUGUUGGUGGAAUCUUAACCAACCAAUCAUAAGUCUCUUUACUUAUUUUUUUUGUUUUGUUUUUCAUGUCUUCCAUGAUCGUAUUAGAUUUUACAAGUAUGUAUGCUCUUAUUGUUACCUAAAAUUGAUUCCUUAGAAUGAAUCCUAAGAAAUUCAACUUGAAAUUGUUAUAUAUGUGUCUAUAACAAAAUCUAUGAGUGGUUCUAGUAUCACCUAUUUAUGGAAUUGAUAAACCUUAUAAAUGGUAAUACAUGCUUAGUUACACAGUGGUCUUGAACUGAAAGUAUAAAAUAUAUUUUAAGACAUAUGUCAUUAAAUAAAUAAAGAUGUAUAACAUAGACAUUAUAUCAUACCUUUUUACGAUCAAUUGUGAAAGUUCAUUUUACAUUACAUGAAUUUACACCUAAAAUUGUCUCCAAAUAUUAAACAAUGGAUGCUCAACUAUCUUUGUUUUCACUCUUGACAACACUCGAUGUAAUAGAAAAUAAACUAUUAAUCCCAUCCAAAGCAACUACAUCCAACGAAAUACCUCUAUAUGGCCCUUUCAAGUGACAUAUAUCCAAUCUAAUAAAAGGUUUACAUCCAUUUAUAAAACCACUUUUCAUAGCCUUAAAUGAAAGUAACAAUCUUUUGAAUGCAUGAGUGACCACAAAUUCUUUGUUGUAAUUAAAGUGCUAAAAUCUAAAUAUGUGAUUGCCUUGGCAUAAUAAUAAUAAUAAUAAUAAUAAUAAUAAUAAUAAAACUAGAGAUAUAGUUAUCAUGACUUUAUAGUAUUACAUGUGGUCAUUAUUUGGGAUAGGCCCUCUAUAUUAAAUUAUUUUUAUUUUAGAAAGAUUAAUUAUUAGCUAAAUUUAAUGAAACUUAAUUUACAUAAAUAAGGAUAAAAAUUAUCAGACAUAUUGAAUGAAAUAAAUCUAACAAAUGAACAUGUCCUGAAGUGUUUCAAAAUUCAAUGUUACAUCCUUAGAUAGAGAACAUUAUAAAAUCUAAGGUUGAAGAUCAAAGUCAAUUCAUGAUCAAAUUGAAUCUUACGACCAAUAGUGCAUUCAAAAUUUAGAUUUUUUUUUUUGUAAAAAAACAUAGAUCCUUUAAACUAAUUAAGUAUGAUAUAUAUAUCUAUAUAUAUAUAUAUAUAUAUUUCCGUGUUAUUCAAUUAAAAACCUAUAUUCAUCUUGUAGAUUCAACCCUUAUAUUUGUUAACUACAAGAUCAAAUUGAGGUAACCAUUUAGUAAUUAAGGUCUUUUCAAGAACCACUAGUGCUUUGGUAAGAAUCCUUUAUACUUUAUCUAAGGUGAACUAACACAGAUGAUUUAUUCUUACCAAUUCAAACUUGAAAAUGAAAUCAAACCAUUUGAUGCAUUACCUUUUCUUGUCACUUCUCUUUUGGAUUCUUUACUUUUAUGUUGACAUCUUUGAAACUCAUAGAAUCAAUUAAAUAUGAUAGAGGAUUUCUCUUCACAAUCCAUAUUUGGUUUCCAAGAAAAUAGAAUGAAAAAGAAGAGAAAUAAAAAUAAAAAAAAUCCUAAAACUUUAUUACAAUUUUAAAGAAGAGAAAUUUAUAUUUUCCCUUUGUUCCAUCAUCUAAGACCUAAAAGGAAUUGAGUUAAAAUAAUACAAGCUAAACUUAGACAUAUAGCAUAGUCUCUUUCACUAAAAAGGUCUAAAAACAACUAAAGAUAUCUCAGAAAUAAUAAAAUCCUUGAAUCUUGGUCUUAUUGGAAUCUUCUUAGGGCUUGGGAGGCCCAAAAUUGAAAGUGGAGGAAGCUUGGAAGGGCUUGGUUUGUGUUUGGGAAGCUCAAUUCGAAAUAUGGAUGUUUUCGAACUUAACUUCUACCCUUUAAUAUUGAAUUCAAAAUUCUCUUGAAUUUCUUGUUCAUUUUGGGUAGUUGUCUUCAAAUGACCAUAUCUUUCUCAUUUCAACUCUAAUUUAUGCACCAUCUAAAACAUUGGACUCUUGACUUUUUAAGUUUUGAAAUAAUAUGUAGUUUGUCCUAAAAAGAUUGAAGGAAAUGACCCAAAAUUCAUUGCAAAUUCAGGUAUGCUUCAAUUGUUUUUGUUUGAACCGAAUCUUGAACUUGGAAAUAUGACCUCAAAACUUCUUCAUUCAUGGUUGCUUGCUCUGUAACUCUAUCCAUAACAUUAAUUACUAAUAUUGUAUGCCCAUGACUUGCUUGUUACACCCUUGCUUGGACUCUUCAUGGUUCACAAGUACCAAGUCUCACAUUUAUGCAUAGUUAACUCUUUUACUUCCUCGGAUGAGAAUGACUUUUGCACUUAACAUUUUUUCAUCCUUUAAACUUGGAUUAGGCUCAAAAUAGAAAUUAGAUAUAUAAUUAAGAUUUUAGCAUUAAUUUGAGUUAAGUUGGAUGAUUUGAGCUUUUUAUAUGGUAUAAAGCAUAUCAUAUAUAUGCCACUAAAGCACAUAUAUUAGCUCCAAUCAAUGAGUGCAAUAUGAAGUUUCUUUAUUAGCACUUAAAGAUCUACAAUUUGCUACUUGUACAACCUUAGUGUAUGCUUGAAGCUUUACAUAUGACUUACUAUAUGAUCAUUUAUUCUUUCUUUUUUUUUUUUUGUCUUUUAUCUAACCUUGUAAAGUUGUAUUUUACUCGAUUCAAUGUCAUAACUUCCUAUCAAUUCUUCUCGCAUUUCAUCUAAUUUCAUUUAAGGAUUCCUUUUGGGCCUUCCCACUUAAUUUGUAAGCAAUCAAUGUAGAUGUUGUGUUUAAAUUUUUUAAUAUGUCAACAUAAUUGUGUGUCUCUACCAUUAUGUUAAUCGUGUCACCCUAUCAAUAAUAGGAGAUACAUGAAUUCUCUAAGGAUAGUCUUCAACUACACACUUUGCAAUCACUCUAGUUAUCUUAUUGUUUAACCUCUUUAUUUCAAAUCCCUUCUAGAUAAUUAAAUUCCCCAUCACAAUUCUAAACUUAUGCACAUUUUUAAAUGAUUAAUCCUCAUACAAUUUUAUUUUCUCGACUUCAUUUGUCUUCCCUCAAAUACCUUUAUUAAGUUGUUUUAUAUAUCUUCCCAACUUAUGAAUUUUCACUUCCUAAAGCAAAAUAGUACUUAACCCUCAUCUCCGUCAUUAGAUUCGUACCUUGAUAGGUCAUCAUUAAGGUGAGAUUUAUGUUCUCCAUUGUUUGUAUCAACUGACUCAUUGCUUGAUGAACACUCAUUUACGUGGCUUAGUGGAUACCACCCAAUAUCAUUAUUAUUGUCAUUAUCAUUGACACCAAAUUCUUCAUCCUCACAAGCAUCUUCACAAUCAUCCUUAAUACGUACCAUCUUAAACCAUUGUAUUUGCAUCCUCGCUCUCAAGCCUUACAUAAUCUAUAGAUCCAUGACCACCCUUUCUUCCCAUCACGUUGAAACCCUAUGUUAUCACCAUCUUCUAGAUUGAGUUUUUACCCAUAUUUGGGCUUUCAUCUUCAACAAACCCAUGCUUAGUGGGCUUCCUUGACUACAACCUCAAUUAGAGUAGCACUUCUAAUAGACACCAUAAGGUGAAUCAUUCUUUGACAUUUAUUCUUUAUUGGUGUUCACAUCAACAUAUUGAUUCAAACCUAGUAAGUAAUACUUUAUUUCAAUACAACGCAAUUGUGUGCUAAAUCAAUUAAAAUCACAACAAACAAAUCUUCAAGUAGGUUAAAUACGCAAUAACGGUUUGGGUUUGUAUUACUUAUUAAUGUCAUUUUCCAUUAUGAUGCAUAAUGAAGUCAUGAUUGCCUAUUUUUAGUUGUACAACAACAAUAUUCAAAUAAUUACAAACUUAUAACCAUUCUUCUACAAAAGGGGAAACAAGACUCUUAUUUCCCUCGCAAUGGCAAAAUUAGGAUUUCAACCAACUCAAUUUGAAGUUUUUUAUUUUUAUUUUUAUUUCUUAACUUUGUCCUUUAUUAUGGUUCUAAAAUGCUGCCUUUUGCCUAACUAUAGAUAUGCCAUUAUGAAAAACGUUACAUUUAAUAUCAAAUAGUAAUAAUAACAUUUCAUCAAUAUCGUUAAUCUCUUUAGCAAAAAAAAAUUAUCAAUAAUAUAAAAAAAAUUAAGAAACUAAAAUGUAAUUAUCAAUUACCUUAAAGAAUGUAUGUGCAAUUUUUUUAUUAAUUAUUAUCCAAUAACAAAUCCUAUUAAUUAAUCAUUAGCAAAUCAAAUUAAUGUUUAAAUGGUUAAAAUAGGCAUCGCCACAUUCUUUGCCAUUACAAAUAUGCUUUUCCAAACAAAAAAGGAAAAAAAACAAAAAAAAAAAAGAACCCUAAAAAUUUCAUCAAAUAUGAUGAUAACACCACCACUCUUUGAAUCUCUUUAAAAGUUUAAAAAGGAAAAAGGACAAUAAAACCAAAAAAAUUUAUGUGCCUUACUGUAUUGGAAUAUUGUAUGGGACCUAAGACAAUGAUUUGCUGCCCCUAUACCAACAAAAGAAAAGAGAAUUUACUGAAUAUAUGCUCCUUGAUACUUCACCAUCAUACCCUGCUUAGCCAGCUAUUUUAUUUCCCAUCUUCCAUUAUUGUACUGAAAAUUUAUCUCAUAGCCCCCCCUCACUUUUUCAUUUUUCAUUCAAUUCCAACAUUUCUUCACCUACAUUUUCAUCCAUUUAUAUAUUUAUUUAUUUAUAAUUAUAAUUAAAUUAUAUAAUUCCCACUCACUAAUGUCUAAUUAUUGUAAAGCCCAUUUUUUAAAAAAAUAUAAUUAAAAUAACAUACUUUUAAGAAUUGUGAAGAGCAAAAAUGGACCAUUAUUUUUGUUGUUAUUAUGUAUAUUGGAAGGAUUCUAAAGGACUUUUAGACUUGGUCAAUUUGAAUUUUAUUUAAUUAAAUUUUAUUUCUCCAAUAAAAGUGAGUCUAGAAAUUAAAUAAUACAUGCUAAUGUAGAAUAAUGAAAUAAAUAAAUCGCUUAUUCAACUUGGGUUUUUUUUUUUUUUUUUUGAUAAUAAAAUAAGAUAAAAUAUAGGCUAAAUAAAAAAAGGAAAAAUAAAAAUAAAAUUAUCUACUGCUGCUUGUUCUUCAGAUAUGGUGUAUGAGAAGUGAAGUGAAGCCAGGUUGGUAUUAUCGGUGUGCCAACUGCCAACCACCACUGGAGUCAAAUCAGAAAAAGUCAACCAAUCAGACGUUCACGGGCUUGCAUAGAAACAUGAGCGAGGAUGUGGACGCAUCACCGAGUCUUCCAUCCAAUCUCUCGUAGUAAUCGACGCAGAAGAGCGAAAGGGAGAGCUGAACUGAGUCACGAGUCCAGACUCGCCCCACCAGGUCCGAGUCACCUCCGCCGCCGCUGCCGCCCAACCCGCGUUUCAUCUGUCCGAGUCGGCUCAGGACGGGCCUCAGGCACAUCAUGUAGAGCCGGCGGUACCCACCCAAAGCCACCACUACCGGCCUCACCCCCGGCGGGGGCGGGGAUACGUGGCGGAAGCAGAGGUGCUCCCAGAGCGAGUCGUUCCAAGUGACGGACCUCCACAGCCGGCAGACGCAGGCGGCGACACCCAACGAGCGGCCGUCGAGCCGCUUGAGAAUCUCCAUGAGAAUGUCCGUGUUGUCAUUGAUAAAGAACCUGGGCUUCUUCUCCUUCUCCCCAUGACCCAUGCCUCUCUGGAACUUGCUUCUGCAUAGUAGUUGCACCAUUGUUAUACAAAAAGAGAGAGUUCUGAGACUGAAGUAGCUGGUUUUUGCACCAUUAUCAUAGAGAAAUAGAGAGUACUCUUGAGGAAAUAGUAGCUAUUUGUAGUGUGUAACGUGGGGUUUGAGGGAUUUGACUUGAAGAAAGAGAGAGAGAAAGAGAGAAAGAGAGAGAAAUGCGGGCAUCGAGGGAAGAAGAGAAGGGGCCAAAGGAAACGCUCCAAGGCAAAGAACUGGAACCAAUGCUAUGCUUCCUUUUGAAUAAUGGUGUUUUCUUUCUUCUUCUUUUAAAAUAUUGUUUUUCGGGUUAAGCAGAAGUGUUGUUUGUUUUUUUUGUUGUUUGCAUAUUUUUUUCAAAGUGUCCUUAUUAUAUAGCCCUAGAGGUUCCUCUUGUGAUAUCCUAUUAACUUUUUCUGUGUUUCAUUUAUAGCUCUCUUUAGCUUCUUUGCAUGCAUGCAUGGAUGGGCCUGUAACUCUAUGUUUGUGACUUUGUUUUUGUGUGUUAUAUUUGAAUAAUAAUGUGUGUAGAGUGGACCGUGUGGUCCAUAUUUGUAGCUUAGGGCAGAGCCCUAGGUGGGGGUCUGAAAUCUGAGGGCAAGUGCUUUUUUGGGUCAUAGCCUAGAAGACCCAUCUCUCAUCAUAUAUUGUUCUUUUUAUAAUUUGCAAAUCCAUAUGGGAAUAGUUAAUAUGUUUUCUUUAAGAUUUUCUUUUGCAGAUCUGUAUCUAAAACCCAUUGAUUGAUGGUCCCCUUCUACAGGAAAGUUCAGUUCUUGCUGUAUUCAAAUCUAAUCUCAGAACCCAUUUGAGAAUUUCUUUGCAAAUUUAAAACUUCUCUUCUUUUAUCUAAAAGGCAGUGCUGAAAUCUUCAAAAUCUAGACUGAGAUCUGUCUCCCUUACAAGUUAGAAACAACUAUAGGGAAUUAUCUGAGCUCAAAACCAUAUUCUUGAGGCAUUCCUUGAAAACCCAUUUCAUAUCUUCAAGAUUUUGAUGAACCCAGAUCCCAAAAUUUUUUCUAUUAGCAUGAUAUGAUUGAAUAAUGGCAACUUCAAUGAAAAUCUUUAUUCUAAAGCAUAAGAAAAUGAUUUGUCAGGUGAUAAGGUGUAGAUAGAAGGGUAGCUAGUGAGUUCCAAAAAUCUGGAAAUCUAGUGGGCUUUUGAUCCAAUCAGAGUGGUCCUUGGGGCACCAUUACAGCUUGUAGAAAGGGCACCACCUACUCAACAACCAAAUCUAGUUUUCCACAAGCUCAUUAAUCCCAUUUCAAUUGAGAAGGCAGCUAGCUAGCAAGCAUAAAGAAAAGGUGUAGUUAGUGACACCACCAACCAGGUCAUAUCAAAGUAUCUCUAUGUUUCCUCUUCAAAUAAUAGUGUAUCUUGGAUAUCAACCAAAGCAAAGGAGAAGACCUUUUAUAAAAGAUCAUGGUCAGGUAGUAUUGAUGUGGUUGUCUCAUGGUGUUGGCUUUUGGCCCGGAAAGGAAAGCCCCAAGUCCUCUGAGACAGAAAGCAUAUGAUAAAAUAUCAUUAAAAUACAGGGUUUGGAAUUGACAUUAGAUCUAUAAAGUUUCUGGGGGACUACCCCACAAAUUUGUGUGUGAAAGGAGAUUGUCAUGGGCAGUUGUUUUGUAUUGUGUUGGACUUGUCUGUUGGACACAUUACACAGGGGCACUUGUUCGAGUCCUGCUAGGAGGAAUUUGAUAAUUGCAAGAUUACAAGAAGAACCCGCAAAGAGCGCAAAGAUUUUCAGAGUUUUCACUCACUCUCACCCUCCCAGCUGACUAUUAUAUUUGUACUUGGUUGGUGUAGGGUAUCUGCCACUUACUAAUGAUCAACAUUUUAAUCAUGUUCUCUCCAUGUCUAUAUACAAACCAUACAUUAAACUUCAGUCCAUAGCCCACACUACAAAAGCUCAACACUCCUGUGGGGUCCAUCAUUCCCAAGAUUCUUUGGAGUUCCACAUGAGUCAUUAUGUAAUGAACUGUUUCCAACAUAUUGUUGGUUUUGAGCCCAAAGCACUCUCAUGGCUUUAAAAUCUACACAAUUAGGAACAUAUCCUUAUAAAUUGUAUUAAAGUUGAUUUUCAAUCUAGUGUGAACAUUUAUUUAGACCUACAAAAAAUAUUUGUUUGUUUAUACAUGUAAUCUCAUGCGACACACACGAUGACAUUGUAUCCACAUAAAGAGAAAUUGUGAUGUUCCACAUUGAAUAAAAAAAAAAUUAUUAACUUCUCUUAAUCAUAUAAAGUUGUUACAAAGCUGUGAAGGUCCAUCAUGUUCAAAGCCAAGUUAGGUCCUUAUUGGUAGAUUUUGGGACCAAAAGUUACUCAAAUUAGUUGUUUGAUUCCUAAACCCAAGGCAUAGAUUUCCAACCCAAAUUGAUCGAAAAAGGUUGAGCACAUGUGUCCAGAUUAUCCAUGGUCAGUCAGUCAGUCCUCUACAGUAUUUGCAGCAACCAGUCAAAAUUAGACCCAUCAAGGGUAUGGAAACUGUUUGGGUGCCCAGAAAAUGAUAACAUAAAAGGGUCUAGAUUAACUUCACAUGUCCACUGAUGUGGCCUGCAUGGCUUGAUUAGGGAAUUCAUUAACAACUAGUUCUAUAACAUAUAUGAAUCCCACAUACCACAUACCAAUGAGUAAGGUCAAGGAGAAUUAAACAAAUUCAUUUGUUUAAUCAAAGUCUAAAGGCACGUUGAGCUCCCAAGUACAUAAAAUGAUAGAAACAAUGCAACCAGCCAACAAACAAGUAGAUAAAAGGUAAGCAGAAGAAUACUUGGAAAACAAACCAUGAGGUCACAGCCAGGGCCUUAAGCCUGCUAACUGCCCUCUUAGCUGGAAGUGAAAAAUCCCGGAAUCUGAAGCUUUCAUCACUGAAAAAUUAGGAAGAAAUGGUUGUAAGUUUUCUCUGUGGUGGUGUUUGUUGGGCAUUACUUGUUUCAUGGGGUACCUUUGAGGGCAAAACUCCUAAUCCAUUAUACAAAAAUUAAGGUAAAUGGCUUCAACAUAUGGCCAAAUCACACUUACUGAUAAUUAACUUGUUUCCAGCUCUUUCACAGGCACCUUUUAAUCAUCCUUGAGCCUAAUCCCACUUUCUGAACCAUUGUUUAGUGCUUGAUCAGUAGGUUUUUGUCAGCAAGCUCCUGGAGGAAAAAACUAUAUAGAUAAUGGUCAUUGACUGAAAACCAAGGAUUGAGUUAAUUAUCUAUAGUGGCUUAAAGUAAUCGUCAAUGUCAAGUGCAGGAAAAGAUUGGUUCCUUUCUCUAAUCUACCCUGAAAGCAACAUUAAGCUCUCCAUUAAAUUCUGAUUGAAAACAAUUUUUUUGGAGCAAAAAUUGUUUAUACUCCAAAGUAAAAUAAAAGAACAGCAAAACAUGUUUAGCAUUCAAAAACAGAAAAGAUUUUUCUGUUAUUAAAAAUAAAAAAAAAACAUGCUAUUUUUAAAAAUCACUUUCAAUUGUUUUUGGUUAUUUUUCUUGUUUUUCUAAAUAUUGUUUUAAAAAUAAUUAUACAAAUAUAAAGAAUAAUUAAAAUAAAAUAUUAUAAAUAAAAGUUGUUUUUAAAACAUAUUUUAAAAUAUAAAAAUUAAACCUUAUUUAAAAGCAGAAAACAUGUUAACAACCUUUCAAAUUCCUAAAUAAUUUUAUUUUAAGCAAAAUAUCAUAAAAUGCUUUUUAAAAAUUAUUUUUAAGAAGUAUUUUCAAAAAUACUUUUCAUAUAAAGCUUAAUUAAUCCAACUCACACCGCUAUUGAAAAUUACCCAUGUAAAACACUUGAAAAAUACUCCACCUCAUUGGGGAUGUGACCAUUUCAUCAUUUCUCAAACAAGAGAGAGAGAGAGAGAGAGAGAGAGAGAGAGGGGGGGGGGGGGGGGGAGGUGGAAGGUCCCUGAUGUGUGCAAUUUUUUAUUUUUUAUUUUUGUCUUCAUAAGGUGUUAUUGGAAUCUAAACUUUCUAUUUCUCUAAUAUAUUAAGAUGAGGUGAUAAUCUAAUAUAAAUUUGAUAGAUAUACUUGUGUCAUGGAUGUUUGCUUGUGACAAAUGUUGAGGGAAAGUCUCAUUAAUUUUCUAUCUCAGGAUGGAGCCAUUUACUUUGUUUUAUGGACAAAAGGAGUCACUCCAAAUUAUUAGGAUGAGUGAUGAUAAGUCAUAACCCCAUUUUCAUUUGCUAGUUUCAUAAACCUAUUCUUUGUUGUCUCUCCAAAUUAUUAGGAUGAGUGAUAAUCUAAACUUUCAUAUAGUUGUUGUCGCAUUCGAAUUAAGAAUCGAUUAUAUUUUCCUUUAAGGUACUAGGUAGCAUAAAUUGAGAUGUUUUUAUACUUAUUUGAUUAAUUAGGUUCAAUGCAUCUUAGUGGUGGGUUGGAUCUUCUCUACCAUCAAAUUUAUGGGAUGAUUUAAAGAUUUUGGUUUAAUAGAUGGAGAUGAAGUCUAUUAAGGUGAGUUUGUUUUGGUUCGAUUGAGAGGGAUGUAAACUACUUUGAGGGAUAGAUACCAUUAUUCAUGUAUAUUUUUCCCAUAAAUCGAUUAUACGCACACUUGACACUAUAUCAUUGGUCCACACAUCUAUGAUAUGACAUUAUUCCAUUAAUUUAUGAAUACAUGACAUCGUUUCACUAAUUGCAUUAUAUUAUUUAGUUGGUUAUUACUUAAUAGAUGCUCAAAGGAUAAUAGUAAAAAAGUAAGAAAAAUUUUUUUUUUAAAUAAAAUUCUUAUCUUUCUUACAUUUAUGAUAUACACCUUUCUCCAAAUAAUCGAAUUUUACAAAUUUAUUUUAAUUGACUUUAAGAAAAUAAAGGUUUUUAAGGACUACUGUUUAGAUAAUUUUAUUAAAAUAAUUUAUAUUUUUAUAAAGAGUUUAAUAUAAAAAUAUAAAAAAUUAUUACUUCUCUUAUGAAUUAUAACACAUUUUUUUCUUCAUAAAACAUUAUGCUAAAGUAUAAUUUUUCUAAAUAUGAAAUUCCAUGAAAAAUAAAUAAAUAAAAGAUUUAAGGUUGGUAGCAAAGUAUUAAUGCCAUGCCGGUCUAAUAGAUUUCACAUAAUCUUUCUCUGAGUGGACACAUGAUACGAAUCUCCUUAAUUUUUGUAAGUAUUUAAUUCUGAUGUCAUUAGACAAUUUAAACCAGGCAAUCCAAGAACUGUAUUCACAGAAUGGAUUUGAGUUGAUUCCUCUAAAACUGGAGAACGAAGGGUAUGUUUUAGUUGGUUUCCUUUCUUGUUUUCAAAUUUUGUUCGGUUUUCUGUCUCUUGAUUUUCUGGGAACACCGGAGAGGUAGAGGUAGAGUCGCCGGCGGCGGUGACGCUGAUGGGUCGGAGGUGAUGUGGGUUUUCCGGUGCUGUGAUAUCCAGGUUCAUCUUCCAUCAUCCCUUCUUCUUUCUCAUUGUUUGAACUUGGGUUUCGGGAAAAACCCUGAUUUGGGAUUUUGCAUUCAAUCAUCUCUUCCAGUAAGGUCAGUACCCAAUUCCGUCUUCUCAAAUUUCAUCCUUUGAUUCGAAGAAUUUGGAUUCCUGUUACAAGCUAUUUUGGAAAUUGAUUUUCUCAACCCAGUUUCUGCAACUGGGAAAGCUAUGAUCAGUAUCCCAUUUCGUGGAUUCUCAACUCUGCUCAAUGGAGCGGCCAAAACCCCCAAUUACAUGCGGAGUUGGAAUCCAAUUCCAGUGCCACACAGAACAAUUCCUGAACCCAGAGGUCAAGACCUUGAUUUUGUGAAUGUAGCACACAGUCACCUCAUAAACUCGGAUUGGGCUAAGCUCAAUUCAAUGUCGACCGGUCUAACACCAUACAGAAUGAAGCACAUUAUGUUAAAGAUAAAGAAGGAUCAUGUUCUUUCGUUUGAGUUCUUCAAUUGGGUUAAAGCCCAAAACCCCAAUUGCCAAACCCUUGAGACUUACUCAAUAAUUCUCCACAUUCUUACUAAGAAUCACAAAUUCAAAUCUGCAGAAUCUGUUUUGAAGGGUAUUCUAGGAUCGGGUUCAAUAGAUCAUCCUUCUAAGCUCUUUGAGGCGAUACUGUAUUCGUACCGAAUAUGUGAUUCUUCGCCUUGCGUUUUUGACUCACUUUUUAAGACUUAUGCUCAGAUGAAGAAGCUUAGGAAUGCCAUUGAUGUGUUCUGCCAAAUGAAGGAUUAUGGGUUUUUGCCUAGAGUUGAGUCCUGCAAUGCAUAUAUUAGUGCAUCAAUUAGUUUACAACGAGGGGAUAUUGCAUUGACAUUUUAUAGGGAGAUGCAGCGUUAUAGGAUUUCACCAAAUGUUUAUACUCUGAACAUGGUGAUGUGCGCAUUUUGCAAAUGGGGGAAACUAGAAAAGGCUAUUGAGGUCUUUAAAAGGAUGGAAACCAUGGGCUUUAGUCCAACUAUCACAUCUUAUAAUACAUUGAUUGCAGGAUACUGUAAUAAGGGCCUUCUGAAUUCAGGUAUGAAGCUUAAAAUCCUGAUGGAGAAGAAUGGUGUGCGGCCUGAUGAUGUUACUUUCAACACCCUUAUCAAUGGGUUCUGCAGGGGAGGGAAAUUGCAUGAAGCAAACAAGAUUUUUAGUGAGAUGAAAGCUAAUGAUGUAGUUCCUAAUACUAUAACUUAUAAUACUUUGAUAAAUGGGUACAGCCAAGUGGGAAACAGUGAGAUGGGUGGGAGACUUCAUGACGAGAUGUUAAGAAAUGGAAUUAAGGCUGAUAUCUUGACUUAUAAUGCAUUGAUUUUGGGACUAUGCAUGGAGGGUAGGACAAAGAAAGCUGCGUAUCUGGUUAAAGAACUUGAUAGGGAGAAUUUAGUUCCAAACUCCUCGACCUUUUCUGCACUUAUUACUGGGCAAUGUGUGAGAAAAAACUCUGAGCGUGCAUUUCAGCUAUACAAGAGCAUGAUAAGGAGUGGCUGUCAUCCAAAUUAUCACACUUUCAAGAUGUUGAUAUCCACCUUCUGCAAGAAUGAGGAUUUUGAUGGGGCAGUGGAAGUUGUGAGGGAAAUGUCAGAAAGAUCUAUAGCUCCUGAUUCAGAUACAUUGUCAGAACUUUGUAGGGGACUUUGGUUGUCAGGGAAGGAAGAAUUGGCUCUGAAGUUGUGCAAAGAGAUGGAAAUGAAACAUCUCAUGCCAGAAGGUUUUGAUAAAUCCAAAACUAUCAAUUUUAGGGCAGAAAGUGAGGAAAAAGAAAAUGGAGAGAAUUUUUAAGUUCACAUAUACUAGUCCUAUCUUUGUUAAUUUUAAGGCUUAGGUGCUAUUUAUUUGUCAUUUUGGAAGCACAUUUCCAACUUUGAGCCUACAGUAGGAAUUGUGCUCUGUUUUAUAAGAUCUUUCUUCCCUGUACUUGUUUUGUAACUGCAGAAAAAAUUCAUAAGCAAAUUUUCCACAUGCAUCCUUUUCUUCUGCCUGUAAAUAUGCAGUCCACUUACAUUUGGUUGAUUUGAUAUUAUCUUAUUUAUCAUCAUUCACAUUCUAUAUUCAUCUUCUGCAGUGAUCCUUCUCAUGUUUAUGUGCAUAGUGUUGAUGAAUUAUCAUUUCAUCUUUCAGUUAUGAUGUCAUAAAUGCAGAAGUUGCUUAAAAUUCAGGUAGAGGGUUAGGAUUUUACUGGUAUUUGUAUUAUUGCUUCAACUGAUCUCAGAAAUAAUAAUUGUUUUACAACAAACUCCUGAGUAAAAUGGAAUCAGCUUUCUUUUGGAGGGGUAUGUUUGGGACUAGUGCUGCUGGGGGUUUGGCAAUGCCUUUAUUAGAGUUCCUAUGGACAUCUUUUACCAAUUUUCUGAGUCUUAUCCAAUUGUCUAAGGCAUUGUUUAGUAUGUUGGAUGAGUAAAUUUUUGUCAGCAAACUUCUAGGAAAAAUAGGAUUGGAAGAAGAAAAUAUACAAUAUGCAAUAAGAAGACAAGAAACAAAACUUACUGACCAAGCAACCAAGGAUUAAAUUAAUUACAUAUAGUGGAUUAAAUGAGUGGUCAAUAUCAUGCACACAAAAGGUUGACUCCUUCCUGUUAUCAAAACUGAAAGCAAUAUUAUCCCCACUCUGGCAAUGUUAUGCAAGAAAGUUGCUUGUAUAAACCACCUGAAAAAUACUUUACCCUGUGAGGGUUGUGACUAUUUGAUUAGGUCUCUAAAAGUGAAGGUGUAAAAGUACUUGUAAUUAGAGAAACAGUUAACUAGACUAACUUCAAAUGAUCAGUGGAAAUAUAUGAUUAAAACCAUCCUAGAAUAUACUUCAAGUGAUCAUAAAAUAUGUUUGAAAGGUUGAUACAGCUAAGCUGGUGAGGUUGCAAAGUGAACUUGGAACCAACCUUUAAAAUUGUAGUUUUUGAUCUUGGAUUAAGUUGUGUAUGGAUGAAGGUCCUAAUUCUUUAAUCAACUUUUUUGAUUGGUUGGGCGCUAGAUGAAGGUGGGUGAGAUUUUUUGGUACCCCUCUUUCUUUUGUUUUGUGUCUAUAGCCGCCUGGUUGUAUACUUCUUGUAUGCUUUGGGUUGGCCAUUGGGCGCCCUGUUUUUAUUAAUAUAUACUUUUUCUGUGCCUUUGCCUAUCAAAAAAGUACCUAAUACUGCUCUGGUGGCUAUGGCGUUUGUCUUAUGGAAUAUCUUCUCACUGAGAUUGAUUGAAAGCCCCUGGAGUGAGGAAGUGGAUUCAAUAACAUCUCAUGCCUCCUGGAAGAUCCCAUAACUGUAGGGAGGGAAGGAAAUACGUUGAAUAGUAGUAUGAGAUAGCCUCAAUGGUAGAUCACAGGACAGUUUUAUGUUUUAAAUAUCCAAAAAAUGAAAAAAAAAAAAAACGAAUUUCAAGAGCAACUGAAGAUUUGACAACUUGAAACACAAAGAGGCAUAGAUUACAAGGGAACAAGGAAGAAAAGGGAUGAUAAAUGCAAUCAAGGACUUUUGAUGAAUCGAUGGUCCAUGGAUACUGUGAACACAAACAAGUUUCACCAUUCAGGAUUUCAAGAAACAUUUCAAGAAACAGAGUCAAGCACAGGAGGACAAUAGAUUGUAUUUUGGAAGAUGCCCAAACAAUAAUAUUUUUGAAGGAUACCCAAAUGGAAAAAGUUGAAAAUGAUAUUAAAUAUCCAGAUGGGAUGAAGUGGAGCAGCAGGCUGGUUGUUCAAUUCUAGGAAAAGAAAAUGGAGAAAGUUCUGGAACAACAUUGGGGGAAAAGAGAAUCCUACAAUGUGGUGGUUCUUUCCCCAAAAUAUCCUUGAUUGUUGUACCAGCUUCGAAGAAGAAAGAGACAAAAGCGAGCUGCAGGUUUCAACGAAAAAUAUAAUUUGAGAGGAAAGAAAAAGAAGAUUAAUAGUUGAAGGAAAGGCACAGAUUUUUUUUUUUUUUUUUUUUUUUUUUUUUUUUUUUUUUUUUUUUUUUUUUUUACGGAGAUUGCAGACAGAAAAUUAUCUAGUAAUAAGGACAAGCUAGUUACACUACAUACAUGUAAAUAAUUUGUAUAGCAAUACCAAACUCAUCCUUCCUUCCCAAACAAGUGAUCACCACCCUUACCCACCAGUCAAAAGAAGUUAGAAACAAGGAAAUAAAAAUGGUAAAGAAACACAAAUUCAACUUCUGGCUCCUCUCUGUUAUGUACUCUAGUUUUGGUUAUACCUUGGCUCCAUUUUUUGGUUGUUUCUUUGUUGCUUGUCGUAUACACCCUUUGUUCCUCAAUGUGCUGUUUCUAUGGUGUUUGUUUAUCAAAUUAUAUUAUUGCCUAUCAAAAAAACUUCUGGAUCCUUUCUUUCUUUCCCUUCUCUGAUUUUUCCUCCUCCUGCUAAAAGUCUUCACAAACUGUUCAUAUUUCCUUGUGGUCAAGGUAUGCCUAAUAACCACCACAACUAGCUCACUUCCAUAUUCCAUCGACACUAGCAUCAAACCAACUUUAAUCGUGUACUUUGAGUCUUCAUCUUGCUCAGAGAUUAAAAGUGGUGGUGGUGAUGGCUCAGAGUCUGAAAUGUGUUGCCUUCAUGUGAGCUGUUUUGAAAUGUGUUAAAUUGUCUCCCUCGUUGUGAGGUGAUUGUGGGAAACAUUGAAGAACCCAAGGUAUCUAUCCUUGUUAGUUGCUGAGGUAUCUCUCCUGGGAGCUUGUUGUGAGAGAGGUCCAAUGACUCAAGAUGUUCUAGGUUCUUCAAGGAAGAUGGGAUCUGACCUGUAAAACUGUUGCCAAAUAGGUUGAGCAAAUGAAGCCUCUUGAGGUUCCCAAUGGAUUCUUGAAUCUCUCCACUGAAUUUGUUGCUUGAGAUUUCAAUGGCUGUUAUCAGUGACAUUCUCAGACUCUCUUUCCAUGCCUUUCAUCAUCAUUGUCAUUGUGAAUAUGUAACAUGAACUAAGUUACCAUUGCUUCUGAAAACUUGUGGAAGUCUGCAUAUAGGUCAACUGUGUUGUGUCCAAAAUUUUCAUUGCAGGCCAAAUUUGAAAUAUUCUGGUGAUAAAUUACCUGUAAAACCAUUGUAGGAGACUUCAAUGACUUGCAACAUGGAAAACUCAAACUUGGUUUAGGACUCCCAGUCCACCAUGGAAUCUGUUAGAUCACAGAAUGAGAACCUCUUACUCUGGAAGAGCUCCCAGGAAAAAAGUGAAAGUAUUCUUGAUCUUAUUGUCUUCAAGAUUAAGGCUCUCAAGCACUGUACAAGUGGUCAAGGACCUUGGUACUGGCUCUUCUAAGUGAUUUUCACUUAAAUCAAUCAUCUUUAAUCAGCUUCUUCCAUUGAUGCAUGUUUGAGGAAUAUUCCCAUUGAAGUUGUUGCCUCGUAGAUUCAAUACUGAUAAAGAACUGCUGAAUUUACUCGAAUGUUGUGGAAUGAUGCCACUUAAACUGUUGUUUGACAAAUCAAGAAUCUGAAGAACACUCAAGUUGCACAUUGAUAGUGGAAUGUUUCCUGUUAGCUUAUUGUUUUGGACAAAAUAAUAAGAGGUGGAUGAUGGUGGAACUGGUAGUGAUUCUUGCAGCAGAUUGGAAGUAAGGUCUAGAAGUAGUAGAUUAGUCCAUGGAAGGAAAGCUGGAGGGUGGUCAAAUCCUGUGAAGAAGUUAUUGUGAGGAAUAUGGUGAAAAGAGUUUUUUUACCUACAUUCAAUAUCCAUUUUGGUAUUUGGCCAGAAAUUUUGUUUUCAGAAACAACUAACAACCUCAAUUAUGGGAAACUUGCUCAAGUUGCAUGAAGCCAACCCCAAAACCUCAAAAUUGGGAACAGUCUCAUUGACACUGAUCUUUAGUGAGGAAUGACAAUUUGUUAUACAGCAAGCCAAGCCAAGCCAAGUAAAAUUUUUGAGCUUAAAAAACAUAUCCAGCUCCAUUUUGCCACUCAAGUUAUUUGAAGGUAGAUAAAGAGUUUCAAGGUUUACUAGUUCAAAUAUUGAGCUUGGAAUUUGCCCAUCUAACCUAUUUUACCCUAGAUCUAAAAAUGCUAAUUGGGUCAGAUUUUUUUUUUUUUUUUUUUUUUUUUUUUUUUUUUUUUUUUUUGUUCUUUUGAUAACUGAGGAACCUUCCAUGGCUGAGCCUUUUGGCUCUCCAUGAGGACCCAAACCUCAGGUUGUUGCUGCACACACCACAAACCAACACUGAGUAAUCUAGGUAUUCAAUCAGUGGCAAGAAUCAAAUAUGGGAAUGUGUGCCUCUACCACAAAUCCUGACACUUGUACUGACCAACUGAGUACCUUGACAGAUGAUAAUUGGGUCAGGUUUAUGAGGUAAGAUGUAUUUUUACCAAAUUGCUGGGCUAAGAAAUUUAGUUGGGUUAGGUUUUCAAGAGAAGGUAGGAUCUCACUAUUCAAAUUGAUCUGCAUAAGGUGCAAAAAGGUGAGUUUAGUUAACAAAUUGAUUCAAGACAAGGUCUCAUCACUGACAUCAUUAGAAGAAAUAUCAAAUCAAGUGAGUUGAGUAAGAUUUUCCAUUGAAGAAGAAAUCUGACCCCUAAAAGAGUUAUUUGAAAGGUCCUGGUAAGUAAGCCGGGUAAGGUUGUUACCAAGUGAAGGUGGAACCAACCUGGUGAAAUUACAUAUACUGACGUCCAGUUCAUUUCAGGAAUCAAGGAUUACGAAUGAAGUUGGUAGCUGACCAGAGAAACUUGUUCCAGCAAGGCCAACAACUUUGGAGACUGGUUCCAUGAAAUUCAGGCACAUGACUGGUUGGAUCUGGGUUGCUCCUCAUGCCUAGAAAUUGUAGGCUUUGCAGGUGGAAGAUGCCUGUAAAGAAUUCACCAUGGAAUCCACAAUUUUCAAGAUAUAGAUAUGUCAUUGAAGAUAAAUUUGUCUAGAUAUCAGGUAAUUUUGAAGAAAUAUUCACCUGGCUGAGAUGAAGUUUCUUUAGGCGGGUUAAGUUCUGCACUAGAUUUUGACAGGUUGGCUGCCUUUAGUAGGUUUCUGGGAAUGCCAACUGAAGGCCAUGAGGAGGAGAUUCUGGCGAUGCUGAAGCGAAUAAAGGCUCGCAAGGGUCUUAAUGGGCAGAAGUGUGAUAGAAAGAAAGACAAAUCUGCAUCUUCUCAGUCUGAAAGGGAGCUGAAGAAACUGGAGUGGUUGGUGAGCUAUAAGGGCACAAACUCAGAGAGUGGUAGGGUUAAUGUUUGGGGGGCAAUUUCUGGAGGGGACUCAUGAAGUUAAGAAUUUUGUCUUGGAAUGUAAGAGGGGCCAAUGACCGUAACAAAAGAAUGGUGUUGAAGUCUUUCAUCAAAAUGCAGAAGUUAGAUUUGGUUUGUAUUCAGGAGACCAAAAUCCAAGAUAUGUCCUUAGGUGUGGUGCGAAGUCUAGGGAUAGGGAAAUUCAUUGAAUGGGGUGCGGUCAAUGUGAGGGGGGCUUCUGGGGGGAUUGUAGUGUUCUGGGGGGAUUGUAGUGUUCUGGGAUAGUAAAGUUCUUGAGUUGGUGGGUAUGGAGGUUGCGGUUUACUCAAUUUCUUGCUGGUUUAAGAAUUGUGAUGAUGGUUUUGUUUGGUUUUUUACUGGGGUGUAUGACCCUACAUAGAGAGGUGUUAAAGAGGAUUUUUGGGUGGAAUUGGGGGUUAUAAGGGGACUAUGGAAUGACCCAUGGUGUAUUGGGGGCGACUUCAAUGUUGUAAGAUUCCCUUAGGAGCGUUUUGGUGGCAACCAGAGGUUGUCUACAACAAUGAGAAGAUUUUCAAAGGUCAUAGAUGAGCUUCAACUAGAGAUCUUCACUUGAUAGGGGGCCUUUUCACGUGGAGGAGGGGAAGGGGGGGUGGGGGGUGGGUUUGAACAAUCAAGUCCUUGCAUAGUUAGAUUGCUGCUUGGUGUCUGAUGAUUGGGAAGGUAAUUUCCAUGGAGUGUUACAGUACUUGUUGCCUAGACCCGUUUUAGACCAUGCUCCAAUUCUGUUGGAUGGGGGGUGUGUGUGUAGAGGCCAUUCUCCUUUCAAGUUUGAGAAUAUGUGGCUUAAGGAGGAAGAUUUUAAGGAGUUAGUGAAGUCUUGGUGGAUGACCCUUAAUUUUAGGGGGUCCCUCAGCUUUGAUUUGGUAGAAAAAUUGAAAAGCCUUACAGGUUUCUUGAAGAGGUGGAACAUUGAAGUUUUUUGGAAUAUGGCUGUUAAAAAUUUAGAGGCCCUAUCUCAAGUGGAAUUCUGGAAUUCUAAAGAGGCGUAGGGUACCUUAUCCUUUGAGGAGGAGUUUGCCAGGGAGAGCUCAAGGGCAGAACUUAAGAAAUGGGCUCUAAUGGAAGAAACAAGUUGAAGGCAGAAAUCUAGGGAGGUCUGACUGAAGGAAGGGGAUAGAAAGACCGGUUUCUUCCACAAAAUGACAAAUGCUCAUAGGAAGAGGAAUACUAUGACUUAGGUGAAGAUUAACGGGGUUUCUUUCACAGAGGAGGCUGAUAUAAGGGAAGGGAUUGUUCAGGCUUUUUAGUCACUUCAGUCAAGACUGCCAUGGGAGUGGAGUGUAAUGGACAUGAGGUAUAUUGUUCUUCACUGUCAAGAUGCAGCAAAAUUGGAGGAACCAUUUUGUGAGGAGGAGUUGUUCAUUGCCUUGUCAGAGUUAAAUGGGGAUAAAGCUUUGGGGCCGGAUGACUUUUCUCUAGCUUUUUGGCAACACCGCUAGGAUAUAGUCAAGGUUAAGGUCUUGAGUUUCUUUAAGGAAUUUCACGAACAUGAGUGCUUUGCGAAAAACCUCAAUGCAACGUUUCUAGUGUUGGUUCCAAAGAGAGGAGAAGCUGAAGAGUUGAAAGAUUUUAUGCCGAUAAGUUUGGUGGGCAACCUAUAUAAGCUAUUGGCUAAGGUGUUAACUAAUAGGCUAAAGAAAAUGAUGGGAAAAGUGGUAUCAAAAUAUCAUAAUGCGUUUGUGGAAGGAAGAUAAAUUCUUGAUGUGGUUCUUAUAGCUAAUGAGACAAUUGACUCAAUGUUGAGAAGUAAUAGAGCAGGGGUGCUUUGUAAACUUGAUAUUGAAAAAGCUUGUGAUCAUGUAAGCUGAAAUUUUUUAUUUGAGGUGUUAGGAAAAAUGGGUUUUGGACAAAGGUGGAUCAAUUAGAUUAGUUGGUGCAUCUCAACUCCAAGGUUCUUGGUGUUAGUGAAUGGUACUCCCUCGAGGUUUUUUCAGAGCGCUAGGGACUUAAGGCAAGGGGAUCCAUUAUCCUCGUACUUGUUUGUUCUAGCUAUGGAGGUGCUCAGUUGCCUUCUUGGAAGAGUAAGAGAGGGUGGCUACUUGUUUGGCUUCAAAGUGUUAGGGAGAAAUGGGGAGGGCUUGGAGAUUUCCUAUUUGUUGUUUGCAGAUGAUACUUUGGUUUUUUGUGACGCCACCUCUUUCCAAAUGACUUAUUUGAGUUGGUUAUUCAUGUGGUUUGAGGCCAUUUCAAAUUUGAAAAUCAAUUUAGAUAAAAGUGAACUUAUUCUGGUUGAGGGGGUGUCGAAUGUAAUGGAGUUGGUUGCUAUAUCUGGUUGUAAAGUGGGUGCGCUCCCAACCACUUAUUUGGGGCUCCCUCUAGGAACUGCCCAUAACUUGGUGGUGGCUUGGGACAGGGUUGAAGAAAGGUUUAGAUGCUAGCUAUCCUGCCAAUCUAUUUUAUGUCUCUUUUCUGGAUGCCGAGGAGAGUUUGUUUAAGGUUGGAGAAGAUUCAAAGGGACUUUUUGUGGGGAGGUGGGGCUCUAGAGAAUAAGCCUCAUUUAGUGAAGUGGGAUAUUGUUUGUUUAGAUAAAAGAAAAUGAGGUAUUGGAGUUAGACGUCUUAACUCUCUUAGUAAGGCUCUCCUUUGCAAAUGGAUUUGGCGCUUUGCUAAGGAAAGGGAUGCCUUUUGGAGAGAGAAGUUAUUUGUGGUAAAUUUAGGGAAUUGGAAGGGGAUUGGUGCUCUAAGGAAGUGAGGGGCAGCUAUGGUGUUGGUCUAUGGAAGGCUAUAAGGCUUUUGUGGGAGUUAGUCUCUUCUAGAACUCUCUUCGUAGUGGGUAAUGGGAGAAGGGUCAAGUUUUGGAGAGAUAGAUGGUGCGGGGAUGAGCCUUUAUGUGUGUCCUUUCCCUCCUUGUUCGCUCUAGCUUGCUUAAAAGAGGUUUGGGUGGCGGAUUUGUGGGUGCACUAUUCUGAGGGGGGGUGGAUGGAACCCAAGCUUCUCUAGAUCUCUCAAUGACUGGGAGUUGAGACGGUGGAAUGCUUCUUGUCAAGGAUUCAAGACAAGGUGGUGGUUGAGAAGAGGGAGAAUGGUGCUAUUACAAAGAGUGGAUCCUUUUGUGUUAAGUCCCUCUAUUUCAUCCUUGAGGAAGUAAGGGUAAGCCCUUUCCUUACUAGAAUUGUGUAGAAUUCUUGGGUCCCUUCUAAGGUUAGUUUUUUUGCUUGGGAGGCAACAUGGGGGAAAUUUUUGACUAUAGACCAAUUGCAAAGGAGAGGGUAGUCUUUAGCCAAUAGAUUCUCCAUUUGUUAUGCUCAUGAGGAGUCAAUUGACCAUAUACUCUCUCAUUGUGGGAAGGCAAGGCUGUUGUGGGAGCUCUUGUUCUCUUUGUUCAAGGUGUGUUGGGUGAUUCAUGCUUCUAUUAGAGAGACCCUUUUAGGGUGGUAGGGCUCGUUCAUGGGAAGAAAGUGUGGAGAGCAGUGCCUUUGUGCCUCUUCUGGACAAUUUGGAGUUUUCUGUUCAAAGGUUGAAUGUGUAGUUUAUUAUCUUGGACAAACUUGUUUAUAAAACAUACUUUUAUGUUUUUAGUUGAUUUUAUUGAUUGGUGGGGAGGGAUUGAGGGAUGGAGUAUUUUUGUUUUCCCUAUCCUUUUUAGCGUUGUUAGGCGGCCGUUGUAUACACCGUGUGUACUUUGGUGCGCCCCUUUUGGUGUUUUUAUACAAUUUGCACUUAUCCAAAAAAAAAAAAAAAAGGUUCUGCACUAGAUUUCUUAGGUCAAGCUCUUGGAGCUUGAAUAUUGGGUUGUGGGAGAGAUCAAGGAAAACCAAUUUGGAUAGCUCUAAGAGUUCCGAUAAGAUUUGGCCAGAGAAUGAGGAAGAGGAGAGGUCAAGGCUUCUUAGCCUGGAAAGAUGACCAACUUUAUAUGUGAUUUGAGAGUAGUUGAAAUGAUUGCCUGAGAGAUUAGGCCUUCAAAGAUGAAUAAGGUGGAAGAGGCCGCUGCUGGAGUUGAUAGAAAUGCAGAGACAACUGCUAGCAAGGUUAAAGUCAAUCACAUGACCAGUGUCUCUUUCACACUCAACACCAUCCCAUGAGCAGCAAUCACUGCUUCUCCUCCCUGUUUCCAACUUGCAACCUUUGGAUAAGCUGAAGGGUCCUCAGAAACAUGCUUAUCAACCAAGAAGCUUGCUUAAAUUCAAGUAAGUUUUCUCUGUCAUUAUCAUCACAGGGUGGCUGCAUAGACACUAAAAGAUGAAAACAUAAGAGUAAAAUCUGGAGGCUUAUCAAUGUGGAAAGGUACAUAAAUGAUCCCAUAAUGUCCUACUUUUUCUUAGCACUAUUGACUAGGAUGCAUAGAACUAAUGAUUUUUUAUACAUAGGAGUAAGGUCUCGUGCAAUGGUUUCCCCAUGGUUUCACCUCGUGGUGUCUAACUGCAGUGGAAUCUUUGUUCCUCUUAUUUCAUUGCCAACAUGAUGCUCUCUCCACCUGGGGAGUAUAAGCUUUAUUAUUUCUAACUUAGGCCUGUUCAACAUGCCACCACUAGAGCUUUUUAAAAUUUUUAGUGGAGUUUCUACAAUGCCUCUAUAUAGCAUGCAUAAAUCACAGUUACUUUUGAAAAUGAGGAACCAUGGGAUCCAAGAGGUGUAAACAAUUUGAUAAAUUACGUGCCUUUUGUAGAAAUGUGAAACCCAAACCCCCAUGGUUAGUUGGAAAAACCUUCAUACUGUUUGAAUUACGUCUAUAAGAUAAAGACUUUAAAAUCUUAAACAACCUUUUCCAGUAAAAUUAUUGUAUGAUUCCUGAUCUAUAGAGCUCAGUAUGAUCCAACUCUUCUUUAAUUGAACUGCUAGUCUUUAGCACUGUUUGUGACAGCAUUAAUGUUGUUUUUAAUACUUAUUUUGCUUAAUUUUGUUGCUUCUUUGAGCUCUUACAUGAAUUUAUCUUGGUCUUUCCACCAAAACGAUGAAUUAUUAUUAUUUUUUUUGAUGGGUAAACACAGAAGAGAAUAUAUUGAUUAGAAAAAGGAAGCCCGAAGGGUAACUCAAGGCAUACAGGAAGUAUACAGCAAGUGCCAAAAGGCUAAAAAGAGCAAAAUAGGAGGGAAAACAAAAAC
rnacentral:lncRNA from 1 species